rnacentral:lncRNA from 1 species
GCUUUAUUUUCUUCUCUCUCAUCACAUUCCUUGCACUGUAUAUUUCUGGUUCCUGUCUCUCUAUAGCUUCUAGGGUUUUCCUUUUUGACAGUAUAAAUUCAAGAAACUUUUGUAUACCAAUGGCUGAAGGAUCCUUAAAAUGAUCAAGGGAAAAACCAGUAACAGAUUUCAGAUGGAAAAGUUCUUGAUUAUUAGAAGUGUCUUUUCUUUUGAGUAAAGAAACCCUUCUUUGUACCUCACACCCACCCCGCCCCACCCCCAGGAAAAAGAGAGAUUCUUUAGCCGUUUGAUUUUGCUUGAAGAUAGAUCAAAAAGGUAUGUUGAUUAUUCAGAACUUUUCCUUAAAGAAAAGGAUUCAUUUGCUUCUGUUUUGCAGGACAAUUUAGAUGAUGAGGUAAUUUAACGUGGUAUCAAGGUAGAUCGUGGUCAUGAGUUUAACUUUCAAGUGUGAAAAAACCAUUCUAGAUUUGAACCAUUGAAAAAAAAAAAAUUCAAAUAAAGAAAUUUGUUCUUCCUCUCUAAUGGUUUAAGCUUUUAAAUUAGAUGGUACAGCACCAUAUUUAGAAUACUGCAAAACAAGUCUCGAUCACUACUAUCCAUUUACGAAAAUUAUUGUUCGUGGAUCUUGGCUUUGAGAAAAUUGGGCAGUACGAAAAAUCCUGCUCAAUUUCAAACUUCUAUUCUUGUUCUUCUUGUCCAGGAAGGCCUUCAAGAAUAAUAUGAUGAAAUNNNNNNNNNNNNNNNNNNNNNNNNNNNNNNNNNNNNNNNNNNNNNNNNNNNNNNNNNNNNNNNNNNNNNNNNNNNNNNNNNNNNNNNNNNNNNNNNNNNNNNNNNNNNNNNNNNNNNNNNNNNNNNNNNNNNNNNNNNNNNNNNNNNNNNNNNNNNNNNNNNNNNNNNNNNNNNNNNNNNNNNNNNNNNNNNNNNNNNNNNNNNNNNNNNNNNNNNNNNNNNNNNNNNNNNNNNNNNNNNNNNNNNNNNNNNNNNNNNNNNNNNNNNNNNNNNNNNNNNNNNNNNNNNNNNNNNNNNNNNNNNNNNNNNNNNNNNNNNNNNNNNNNNNNNNNNNNNNNNNNNNNNNNNNNNNNNNNNNNNNNNNNNNNNNNNNNNNNNNNNNNNNNNNNNNNNNNNNNNNNNNNNNNNNNNNNNNNNNNNNNNNNNNNNNNNNNNNNNNNNNNNNNNNNNNNNNNNNNNNNNNNNNNNNNNNNNNNNNNNNNNNNNNNNNNNNNNNNNNNNNNNNNNNNNNNNNNNNNNNNNNNNNNNNNNNNNNNNNNNNNNNNNNNNNNNNNNNNNNNNNNNNNNNNNNNNNNNNNNNNNNNNNNNNNNNNNNNNNNNNNNNNNNNNNNNNNNNNNNNNNNNNNNNNNNNNNNNNNNNNNNNNNNNNNNNNNNNNNNNNNNNNNNNNNNNNNNNNNNNNNNNNNNNNNNNNNNNNNNNNNNNNNNNNNNNNNNNNNNNNNNNNNNNNNNNNNNNNNNNNNNNNNNNNNNNNNNNNNNNNNNNNNNNNNNNNNNNNNNNNNNNNNNNNNNNNNNNNNNNNNNNNNNNNNNNNNNNNNNNNNNNNNNNNNNNNNNNNNNNNNNNNNNNNNNNNNNNNNNNNNNNNNNNNNNNNNNNNNNNNNNNNNNNNNNNNNNNNNNNNNNNNNNNNNNNNNNNNNNNNNNNNNNNNNNNNNNNNNNNNNNNNNNNNNNNNNNNNNNNNNNNNNNNNNNNNNNNNNNNNNNNNNNNNNNNNNNNNNNNNNNNNNNNNNNNNNNNNNNNNNNNNNNNNNNNNNNNNNNNNNNNNNNNNNNNNNNNNNNNNNNNNNNNNNNNNNNNNNNNNNNNNNNNNNNNNNNNNNNNNNNNNNNNNNNNNNNNNNNNNNNNNNNNNNNNNNNNNNNNNNNNNNNNNNNNNNNNNNNNNNNNNNNNNNNNNNNNNNNNNNNNNNNNNNNNNNNNNNNNNNNNNNNNNNNNNNNNNNNNNNNNNNNNNNNNNNNNNNNNNNNNNNNNNNNNNNNNNNNNNNNNNNNNNNNNNNNNNNNNNNNNNNNNNNNNNNNNNNNNNNNNNNNNNNNNNNNNNNNNNNNNNNNNNNNNNNNNNNNNNNNNNNNNNNNNNNNNNNNNNNNNNNNNNNNNNNNNNNNNNNNNNNNNNNNNNNNNNNNNNNNNNNNNNNNNNNNNNNNNNNNNNNNNNNNNNNNNNNNNNNNNNNNNNNNNNNNNNNNNNNNNNNNNNNNNNNNNNNNNNNNNNNNNNNNNNNNNNNNNNNNNNNNNNNNNNNNNNNNNNNNNNNNNNNNNNNNNNNNNNNNNNNNNNNNNNNNNNNNNNNNNNNNNNNNNNNNNNNNNNNNNNNNNNNNNNNNNNNNNNNNNNNNNNNNNNNNNNNNNNNNNNNNNNNNNNNNNNNNNNNNNNNNNNNNNNNNNNNNNNNNNNNNNNNNNNNNNNNNNNNNNNNNNNNNNNNNNNNNNNNNNNNNNNNNNNNNNNNNNNNNNNNNNNNNNNNNNNNNNNNNNNNNNNNNNNNNNNNNNNNNNNNNNNNNNNNNNNNNNNNNNNNNNNNNNNNNNNNNNNNNNNNNNNNNNNNNNNNNNNNNNNNNNNNNNNNNNNNNNNNNNNNNNNNNNNNNNNNNNNNNNNNNNNNNNNNNNNNNNNNNNNNNNNNNNNNNNNNNNNNNNNNNNNNNNNNNNNUAUAUAUAUCUAUAUAUAUAUAUAUAUAUAUAUCCCAGCCAUUUUUGGUGUGUGUGUGUUGUAGCAAUGGAGAGGAGAGUUGAAAGAAGAGAGGCAACCGAGAGAGAGGGAAGCUAUGUGAGGUUGUGAGUGAGAUUCAACCAUUUUGAUAUCUUCUUCUUCCUCUCCAUACUUUUGUGGAUAGCUAACACCGCCACCCUUCUUCUUUGUGGGGUUUGAGAGAGUUUGGACAGUCCAAAGUGAAAGCGAAAGUCUCGAGUUGAGCCAAGGUAAAUCGAUGUUCGUUUGAUUGUUUUCUAUGCCCGGAAUCAAGAUUUAUGAAAUAAGUCCAACAACCAAGUCCAUGAGCUACACCUGACCCAAUUGUAUUCCUUCUUGAUGGCUUGAAUCUUGGCCCCUUUACUUCUUUAAUGGCCCAACUUAAAGUCUAACCCUAGAGUAUAUAUAUGGAUAUAACCCUAGCCUCUUUAAUAUAAUGUUUUGUAAGACUUUGAGUGAGAAAAAGGAGAAUUCCGGCUGCCCUCUUGGUGAGUGAAAAAAUAACCCCCAGAAGUGUCCAAAACACCUGUUUACUUUGUGUAAUUGGUGGUUCCUUCAUAGUAUACCUUUGUGGUGUCUUCUCCUAGCCUUUGCAACCACAAAUCAUCAUCUUUUUUUGUCCUACAUGGGUAAGAUUGUAUAGCAACGGAGGUGAAUCAAUUUGGUUGUGGUUUAGAGCCGAUUGGACUGGUUGUUGGUUGACAAAUGUGCGUUGGACUAAGCCUGAAAAUCACCGAUUUGAAGAUCGUUCAAGAGAGCUUCCACAACAAUUGGUAUCAGAGCUUCAAGGUGAAGGUUUUAGCUCGUGAAAUAUACUAGAAAUCAUCUAGAAGAUCGGUAGAAACGUAGCAGAAAUCAGAUCGAAAAACUGUCCAGAAAAUUGUUAAAAAUCAGUCCACGUUUUGGUAUUUUCUGAUCAAUCCAGAAGGAGUUUGAGGAAACGAAGACCAUUGGUGUAACAUGCAGGUGGUGGCGAUCAAGGCAGUCAGGCGCAUGUGGACGUCUGCGACGCAUGGCGGAGGCACGUAGAGGCCACACGUAGAGACUCGAUCGGCGCAUGCCGAUGCGUGGAGCAUUUUCUGUCGACGGUCCCUUCAGACAGUUUUUUCCUCUCAUUAUUUCUGAUAUUUUGCUUGUUGAAAUUUUUCUAUUUCAGGGUACGCAGAAGAAUCUGGAUAGUGUUGUUCUUCGGGCGUUCGGGGCUCGAUCGUGAUUUCUUGAUUGCUGCUGUUUCUAGAGACUUUAGGAUGAAUAGUGGUGAUCCUAAAGUGUUAAAUUUACGUGUCUCAUAAUUUACGGACUCAAAUUGAUCCGCUCUGGUAUAUUGGCUUAUCUUAGUUUUAAUUUCAGUACUUGCAGAUCAUUGUGUGGGGUGAUCAAUAGGAUUGGGGGUUGUCAUUGCUUGGUAACCAUUGCUUGUGCUAGAAAAUUUAGAAAUUAUUUGCUCUAUUUUUUGAAGUGUUGAGUUUUGAUUGCAAGUUGGUAGUUGAUUUUGUGCUUUACCUGUCAUAUACUCAUUGUGUGAGACUUGUUACGUGGAAAUUCGAACUUUUGUUUACAUACCUUCGUGUUGCAUUGAUUUUCCUGUUAGAACACCUGGACUUGACCCGUUCGAACAUUCCCUUGAUCUGAGAUCGUGAAUCUUACGAAACCCUGAAAAUCUAGAACGGUGUAUAUUGCGGCUGUAGGAUAACUUUGUGUGACCUAUCUGUGCUUUUGGUUGUUCUAGUUUUUUAGAAAUAUCUUCACAUUUUGAAGUUGGAAUUUUUAGUGGGAAACGGGAUUUUUCAAUUUUGUAACAAAAGAUGAAGGGUAUUUUGGUCCAACAAAAAGUUUCAAAGGCUAUAGAUGGCAAAUUUUCUGCAAAUUUAACAAAAGUAUAAAAAGAAGAAUAUGAUGAACUUGUAUACACUUCAAUUAUUUUACACCUGUCUGAUACUGUUUUGAGAAAAGUUGGAAAACUGAAUUCUACAAAACAAUUUUGGGAAAAAUUGGAGGACUUAUAUUUGCUUAAAUCAACUCCUAAUAAAUUGUACUUGCUUGAACGAUUUUUCAGGCUUAAAAUGAAUCCUUCAAAAGAUCUUGAUGACAAUCUGGAUGUUUUUAACAAGUUAGUUCAAGACAUCAUUAAUUGUGAUGAAGAGAUAUUUGAAACGUAUAAGGCUAUUAUCCUGCUUAAUUUCAUGUCUGAUUCAUAUAAGGAAGUUAAGAAUGCAAUUAAGUACGGUAGGGAUACCUUAACAUCCGAGAUUGUCAUAGACUCACUUAAGAGUAAGGAGAUGAAAAUUAAGGCUGAAAAAGAGGAUAAGUGGAGUGGCGAGUUACAUAUGAUGAGGAAAAUAAUGAAGUUUUAAGUAGAUGAAUUUGGGUAGAACUCAAGAUGGUAGUGUUUCGAGUAGUGACUCGAGUGAUGAGGGUAGUAAGAAGAAGGGCAAGGGAUGAGACAAGUCUAGUGGUAGAAGGUGUUACAGUUGUGGUAAGUCUGGACACUUUAUUAGGGACUGUCCCAAAAAGAUAGAUAAGUUGAAGGGUAAGAUGAAAGAUGAGACGAAUUUGGUUGAGGGGUCGAGUUAUGACCCCAGUGAGGUUUAUUAAGUGUAAACCUAGUCACUGAAUAUGCAUCUAUGUGUGAUCAUUUUCUGCAUGUGUGUAAUUGUCUAAAUUUUGUUAAGUGAUUAUUUGCUACAUCUCAAUGUGUUUGAUAUGUGCAUUUGCAUAAAUUUGAGACAUUAGGAUUACUUAGUGUAAUUGCUUGCAUGCAUAGUGGGUUAGAAUGCAUUAGCCCGUUGUGUCUUUUGGUAAGGUGGAGAGUAUAGAUGCCUAGAGGUACAUGGUGGUUUGUACCGGAGAUGUGGAGUGUGACAUUUGGAUCACGAGUAGAGAUGUGAUCAAAUGUCUAGAAUUCUUUAUCUGGAAAGAGACCUUGAUCAGGUGGAGUAUGAGAGAGGCACUUCUAUCACUUCCAUUAGGUAGAGACCCAUUAUCCACGUAGGUUGGGAGAAGUGAUGUGGAGAUAGAGGAUUAUCCCGUGAACUUAGGAUCUAUUGUAUAGACAUGAGUUGAGUGAUCUGUCUAGUGAGCUUGAUGGGCGAUGAGAGGAGAUAUGUGUUCUCGAGGUGUGAGCAACACGGAAUGGGAUAGGAUAAGUGUGAUGAGAUCUUUUCUUAGGGUCAUUUAUGCAUGUGUUGCAUAUGUGGUUGACCGUGGUUUGAUUGACUUGGUGUUAAUCUAUGGUUCUAUUUGAACAUGUUUUUGAAAAUAUCUCUGUGUGUUAUCCUAUAGUAUAUCGUCAUCGCAUGUGUAUUUGCUCUUAAUUGUUUAGUAUUAAAUAUUUGCUUCUACUUGAGCGUUUUUUACCUUAGCCCCAGUAAGUAUAUGGAGCAGGUAUGGUAUGUGAUUCAAGUUGAAAACACGAGGUAAGGUCUGUGAUCCAAUUUUAUUGGCUACCUUGAGUAUGCAAGUGCUAACUGUGUGUUUUGAUUGCUUGUAGAUUUAUUGGGCAUCAAUGUCGAGAUUUGUUGGAUUUUUGAUACCCAAUAAAUCCCGAACUACAAUGUUAGCGUGGGUUAAUAUUAUUUCAUAUGCAUAGGCCGAUGAAUGAAAUAAGUCCAACAAUCAAGUUCAUGAGCUACACCCGACCCAAUUGUAUUCCUUCUGGAUGGCUUGAAUCUUGGCCCGUUUACCUCUUUAAUGGCCCAAACUAAAGCCUAACCCUAGAGUAUAUUUAUGGAUAUAACCCUAGCCUCUUUCAUAUGAUGUUUUGUGAGACUUUGCGUGAGAAAAAGGAGAAUCCCGGUUGCCCUCUUGGUGAGUGAAAAAAUAGCCCCUAAAAGUGUCCAAAACACUUGUUUACUUUGUGUAAUUGGUGGUUCUUUCAUAGUAUACCUUUGUGGUGUCUUCUCUUAGCUUUUGUAGCCACAAAUCAUCAUCCUUUCUUGUCUUACGUGGGUAAGAUUGUAUAGAAACCGAGUUGAAUCAAUUUGGUUGUGGUUUGGAGGCGAUUGGACUGGUUGUUGGUUGAAAAAGGUACGUUGGACUGAGCCCGAAAAUCACCGAUUUGAAGAUCAUUUAAGAGAGCUUCCGCAACAAUGACCAAUCUAGUGAGCAUUGAUGCAAUGAGGGGAGAGAUGUGUUCUCUAUAUAUGAGCUACACGGAAUGGGAUAGGGUAACUAUGGUGAGAUAUUUUCUUGGGAUCAUUUUUGCAUUGGUUACAUAUGUUGACUAUUUAUUCGAUUAAUUUGGUGUUAAUUUUUUAUUGUGUUGAACAUGUUGAAAAGAUCUGUGUAUUUCCAUAUUGUAUGUUUUCAUCACAUGAGUAUAACUAUGUAUUUUAUGUACUCUUGAUUGUCUCACUAUGUAUUUUUUAUUGUACUAGUUUACCUUAUCUCUCUGUAAGUAAACUUAGCAGAUAUGGUAUAUGUUUCGGGGUCUAAGACAUUGGCAAGGUAUGUGACUUCCAAUUUAUUGUUGAUACCUUGAUUAGGCAAGUAUUAACUUGGUUUUUUCUGGUUGCAGUUUUAUUAGGUAUUAAGGUGGAGAUUUGUUAGGUUUUUUUUUUUAUACCCAAUAAAUCUCGUGGUAAUGAUGUUUAAUGGUUAAUUUCAUAGGCUUCAACCGAGAAUUGAAAACAUGAAAUCAACACAGCAAUUGAAAAGAGAGCAAUUUCUUUAUUCUCUGUAAACUUGCAAAUUGUGUCUUUUUUCUUCUCCUUUCUUUGUGAGUGUGCAACCAUCAUCUUAUUCUCUUUGUGAGAUAGAAUCCUUUGUGGAUUAUUCAUAAACUUGGGCAACCUUAGAGUAUGAUUGAGGGCUUGAGCAAUUGAUCCUAGGUACAUUAUUAAAGAUCUUGGUGAGUACUUCCAUCACAAAUAUUCUUAGGAGAGGACAUCGGUGUGGUAUCGGCUGAAAAACCUCUGACAGUAAUGUCAUUGAUACUCUUCAUAAUUAUGGAAAGAAAGCUAAAUGGAAAAUGAGUUCCGAAUUUUUAAUUCAAAGUACCUUGUCAUCAGACCGUUUGUUCAACUAAUUACCAGUUCAUUAAAUUCAAGUAUCUUGUCAUAGAAAAUGUUUAUUUUGUUUAUAAAUAUGUAACCAUUCAGGUUGUUUAAAACUUUUGAACUAAUUGGUCGAGUGUAGAUAUUUUUGGGCUCGGACUAUGACAAGAGGGAAAUGAUCGAAUUUCAAGAAGUUAGUAUUAAUUUUUGAAAUGGAAGUGAAAGAAAUGUAAUUUUGUGUAACAUUGAAAGGUAAAUUUAUGAAAUGAAAAUGUUUGCAAUUGAGUAUUUGUUUGUUGGUAUAUUUAACUUUUUUAUUACUUUUAAUUCACAAUAACAAUAUGUUAAUAUAUAUAAUUAGUGGAAUUUAAAAAAGAAAUUGUAAUCCAACUUUCUGAAGAAUCUAUUUUUGUUGGAAAUUUGGAAAUUGAGAACAGAUGUAGUGUAGCAACAAAAUAUACAUUCCUAUUUAGGAAUGAGUAAUUUUGAUAAGUGUGUUUUUACAAACUUAUUUUGUUCACAAACAUGACUUAAUUAUGAACUAAGAGUUUGAAUUUUGGCUUAAUUCUAUGUAAUUAUGUUUUGUAGGAUUAUAUUAAUGAAUGUGGUGGAAUUCAAGAGAAAAGAAACAAAAAAGAGCCAAAAAGGAAGAAAAUCCAAAGUAUGAGGACUAAACUGUAACAUUUCAACAGUUGAUUCCGAUCACAAAAUGAAGAUUAAAGAUAUUGCGGGUUCAAUUGGAUGCAAAUGUAAGUCAAAAAGUUGAAAUUGCAAGAAAAAGGGCUUGAAAGAAUCAAAACUCGACUUCGGGGGCUAAAAUGCAACAUAUGGAAGAAAUUUUGUAUGGACGACAGACCAGUUAUAAAAAUUGGGCGAUUGCCCCCAUAUGUUUUUCUUAUUACCGAGGAGAAAAUGUUGACCUGGGCGACAGCCCGGGUUUUGCCCGAGCAACAGCCCAGGCCAAUCGCAGCGAACUUUUUUGAUUAAAACUCUUAUGGAAACAAAUCUUGGGAGUCUUUUAAAGCCCUUGGGACAUCCAAAAACAGACACCACGUAUUAUAAAUUUUUUUGAGAGGAUUUGAAGAGAAAAAAGAAGGCAAGAACGAGAUGAUUCAUUUCAAGAUUCAAGAUUUCAAAUCAAAGGGCAUUUGGGUGAUGCCUUUUCUUGAUUCUUGUUGUUGUGUUCUUCUUCCCAUCAUGUUAGGCUAGAAAAAUCUAUACCAGGAGAUCGAUGAACCUUGUAUUGUGAUACUAUAUUCUUUGUUCUGUAUUUUGACACAAAACACGUAUUGAUUGUUUUGAAUGAUUUAUAUGCAUUUAAUUGCUUCCAUGAUUAUGGGCCCAUAAUUGUGUGAGUUUUGAUGGUUUGUUUCAUCUAUUCGAAAGAAGAUGAAUAAAUUCAACAAGGUAUAAAUCAUCGUAGGAUCUGAUAGGAGAUAGAAAUAUACUCCUAUGCUUUGCGUGAAUCUCUAAGUACUUACAAAACUACAUACAUUCUCAUAUAUUUGCAUCCGUCAUAGAGAUAUAGGCUGGUAGUGUAUGACAAUAGGUUCAAUUCAUCUCGAGAGAGUGUGUUGGAUAGAUUUAGGAGUAUUGAUUCUUCAAAAUGUCAUCGUGUUGUCAAAGUGUGGAAUUAAGCUUAAAUUGAGCAUUGCUUGGGGAUUCGUGAUCCUAUUGUGCUUUUAUAUUCAUUGAGUACAUCAACUUGCAUUCAACACAUUCACUUUGCAUUCUAGUUCAUUCAAAUCAUACAUAUUUGCAUAUUUAGUCCAAGUAAGGUUAAUUUAAGUCACUACAAUUCACGUUUGACAAAUCAGUUUCGGUUAAGGCCAAGUUAGGUAAAAUUAAACUAAUCAAUCUCCGUGGGACAAUAUUCGGACUCAAUUGAUCCACUUUAUUACUUGUUAACGAACCGUACACUUGCGGUGAUUUAAAUCAAAAGAAAAUAUUUCUUGAACAAAUUUCAUAGGAAAAAUAUUAAUAUUUGGCAACGGAACCAAAAAUGGAACAAUUAGUAGCUAUAUAACAACAAAUAACCAGUUAGUAAUUUUCAUUACUAAAACAACUUCGAAAAUGCGCAGGUAAUCACCAAAAAAAUAGUGACAACCAACAUUGUUUCUAAUUACAUACAAAAAUAGUUGUUGGUAAACACCAAUAGUUUUUUUUUGUCACUAAUUGACCAAAAGCCUAAGAUAUCCAUUAGUAAAUUAGAGACGAAGGUUUUACUAUCCCAUAUGUCCAUGGAUGGAUUUCGUCAUAAAGGUUGUUAAUUGCAUAAUCAAGGCAUCAUCGAUAGAAAAUAUUGUCGUUGAUGUCACGUUUUUAGUAAUGCCAUAUUAUUUAUUGUUAAAUAGUUUAAAGUUACAUAAAUAUAAUAAUCAAUUUUCUAGAAAACUCACCUAGGCUUCCCUAUGCGCAAAACAUGAACUUUUCGCCUAGCCAUGCUAUCUCUUUUUUACGUUUAAGCCCGUAUAGACUCGUAAAAACUAAAUUUGAUUCUGAAAUCUAACUACACUUUAUGUUUUUUAUAACACUAUAUAAAAAUGACCAUCCCAAAUAAUUAAAAGGUCCUACACAAUUAUUGAUCUCAACCCACUCCACAAAUCCUAUAAUUAUAUACACUUCUACAUAUAUAUCAUGAGUCAUGACCACAUCAAAUUUAUUUAGAUGUCCUAUAAAUAUUGGCCCUAGCUCACUCCCAAUAAUUACAAGAUUUCAUCCACAAGUGCAUUUUUCUAGAAUAGGAAAAUGAGAAGAUAGAUGAAUGUCUAUAAUGGUAAAACAUGUUUUAAGUUCACAUUGCAAUGGGCAAUUUCCUAAGUCAAAAUCAAAUCCUAGUUGAAUUGUAUUAGAUAUUUAUCGAGUUAUAAUCAAAGUCAAAAUAGUUAAGGAUUGAUAGUAUAGGUCUUGAAGGAGCUCAAGAUGUCAAAGAAGCCCAAAGAGAUCAAAUAUGAUCAAGAAAAUAUAAUUAGAAGUCUAAAGGUAUCAAAGAGCCACACAACUUACCCUCCAAAUUCUUAGUCACGACUUGCAAUGCUUUUUUUCACACAAGAACCAUUCAAAUUUUAGAAUGUUAAUCACUUCAAUUCGAUAUCAGGAAGGAAAGUUAUAAUCAAAUUACUGAUGACUGCUCAGCCGUCGCACACUUGUCACUAGCCUAGCGCUCGAGCGACGAGUCGACGUCUCGAAUUCUGUUUUGCUUCAAAUAAUGAUUUUUCACUUUCUUUUCAUUCCAAAAACUUUCUCUUAUAUAUAUCCUUUCCUACGAACGUCUCAAAGUGUGUUGAAUCAUAAUUACUUUAUAGAGAUCAUUCCUUUGAAAAUCCAAUUCACUUUCAUUGGUUUUAAGAGUCAACCACCAUAUUAUUUGAUUCAUAGAUUCAUCCAAACUUAGAUUUGUUGAUCGGAUUAUAAACUUUCAUAUAAAACCACAGAUCAAAACACAUAAAAUCAUUGAUCAAACAAAAAACCUACCUUCAUCAAUUAGCCUUCAGAGUUACUGGAGUUUUGGGAAGAGGCACUAGCAGCUUUGACGCUAGGGAACGAAGUUCCAUUAGAAGAACGAGGUUCACUCUUGGAGAUCCACGGAGGAUAAAUGAUACCAGGGUCAGGAGUUGGUGCGAGGAGUACAUAGUCCAAGAGAGGCAAGGUACUUAAAGGAAGAAGGUCAAGGGGAACUAAGAGUUAGUCAAUUCUGGACCAUACUGUAAGUCUCAUUGUUUAAUGUGGAUUGUUGAUUGUAAAGUGUCUGAAGUUUUUACCCGGUUGGGGUUUUUCUAUGAUAAUCUUUGGUGUUCCUUACUAUUUUAAUUAUUGAUUGUGACAUUCAAACCAUAAGAUAAUUGAACUUGGUUGACUAAUCACCUAGAAAUGAUUAAAAGUGUUUAGUUGGCUUUCAACAGUGUAAUUAUGGACGUUGAGUCUAAAUAUUUGGAUAAUUACAACUUUCAACAUGUAUGUGCACUACUGUUGGGAGAGAAAUAAAGUUGAGAUUCGGGAAAUGAGUGGGGGUGGCGUGGGUGGGGUGGGAAAAAGGAACAUACUUCGGCAAGUAUAAGCAAAGAGGAUGUAGAUGUUGGAAAAAAUGAGUAAUAGUUCACUUUUGGCAAAAUUUUCGGUGGGACCCGUUGGUCCAAUUUAGAAGAUCAAAGUUGAUCCGUGUUCUCCUCCGUGAGAGCGUCAAAAUCAUAUAUUUAUUUGCCAAAAAUGAAGCUUGUGUGAAUGAGAAAUUGGAACUCAAAGAUGACCAUUGGAAUAUGGUUAUGUGGAAAAAAAUUGAAGUUAGUCCCACAUAGGAAAAAUAUGAAAGCAAGAACCACUUUAUAUAAAAUUACACUUUGGAAUGGUAUAAUCAUGGGUAACAUAGAGGUUCUCUCCACGUGAGCAGAAAGGGAGGGUGCAAAUCUCGGACAGAAAUUACCUUCGAACAUUGAACUUGUGUGGGAGCACGACCUGCGUACAUGAAUGUCGGACUGAAUGGAGCAAAAAUUGGCCCUUUUGAAGAGCCCACAUUUUGAAAAAAAAUUUCUUACUUUCUCCACUGACUUUUGAGUUUCUGAAACUUCCACAACUCCCAGAAAUUGAAGUGACUCCAAUGUUAAUUGCCAUAGAGUUAAUGGCAGAUUUAUGCUAUAAUAAAUCUUAAGUUUUCCAACAAUUAAACAUAUGGAAAAAAAAACACACGAAAUUCUCUAUGUACGAAAAAAUUCUCAAAUUCUGUCGUCGUCUUCUUUUUGUCUAGUGAAGUCGUCGUGGUGAUGAUAUUGUUCAGACGCUAACGCGGUUCGUCGAAGUAGUUUCUUUAGUGUUCAGAUUCUACUUGUUUUAUCGUUCUAUCCUAAGAAACAGACGCUCAGACUAGACCUUAAACACUUACGGUAAGGGAGCGAAUCUGUUUUAAGGAAAUUGUGAUUGCACAGGCCUCGAGUUAAAAGUCUAUUUUCAUAUUUAUAUGCUUUCCAGUUUAAAUCUCUAUGCAUUUAUUUAUUUACAUAUUUACAUGCUUUCCAGAUUUAUUUAACUUUCAGUUUAAAUCUCUAUUUUUUGAAAUUUAUAUUACGUUCAUGUUUCGGCAAAUAAUAUAAUUGUUGUAUUUAUUCAAGUAGUUUAAUUCUUUUUAAUUCUCACAAUUUAGAUAAUAUUUUGUAUAUACGAACCGAGAUAUGAAACCUUGUUUAUGGAAAUUCAAAUUUUGUGUUAUUUAAAUUAUUUUAUGAAAACAAACAGUUUGUCCAAAAUCUAUGUUGUAACUUAUCAUAAAGUUUUUGCAAAUUAUAUUGUUAUGUCAUAGCCAAAUACGGUAAGCUGCUUGACAUAUAUGGUAAGCUUCCAAAUACGGUGAGAUGCUUGGCAUAUAUGAUAAGCUACCAAGUACGGUAAGCUACCUGGCAUAUACGAUAAGCUGCAAUAUACGGUGAAUUGAACUGUCAAAUACGGUAAGCAAUUGUCAAAUAUGGUAAGUGUGAAUCCAGUGUCUAAAUCACAUAUACGGUAACAACUGGCCAUACCGUUAAUGUUCCGGUUAAUCAUGGAGAAAAAUCGAAGAAAUUCAAUGGCUUGAAUUUCAAAAGUUGGCAGCAGAAAAUAUUAUUUUAUUUGACCACUUUGAAUCUUGCAAGAUUCUUGACUGAAACUGCUCCAAAACUCAAUGAGGGGUGAGGGAGAUGUUCAAGCCAUCAGUGCACUUGAUGCUUGGAACCAAUCGGAUUUUCUGUACCGAAACUAUAUUAUGAACAGCUUAGCAAACACACUAUACAAUGUGUAUAGUACUAUGAAAACUGCUAAGGAACUGUGUGAGCUUUGGACAGAAAAUAUAAAACUAAGGAUGUGGGGCUAAAAAGUUCAUUGUCGGCAGAUUCCUAGACUAUAAAAUGGUGGAUUCCAAAAUAGUUAUCAGUCAAGUUCAAGAACUCCAAGUGAUUCUUUAUGAAAUUCAUGUCGAAGGGAUGAUUUUGAGUGAAACUUUUCAAGUGACUGCAAUUAUUGAAAAAUUUCCCCCCGCACGAAAAGAUUUCAAGAAUUAUUUGAAACACAAGCGAAAGGAGAUGAACGUCGAAAAACUAAUUGUUAGACUUCGAAUUGAAGAAGAUAACAAGAGUUCCGAAAAUAAGUGGUUUAAUCUUGGUACUGCUAAAGCUAAUAUUGUGGAGUAUGGUCAAAGUAGUAAGAACUAUAAAAAUAAGUCUGGACCAUCCGGUUGCAAAAGAACCAAGCAAGGACCGAAAUGUGAAAUUUGUAAGAAGAAAUUUAAAGAAAAAUGUUUCAAUUGUGACAAAGUGGGCCACAAAUUUUUGGAAUACAGAUUGUCAAAGAAGAAGAAAGAAGCAAAUGUAGUUGACUACAUGGCACAAGAUGUGUCGGAGCUGAAUCUCUCAGCUAUCAUUUCUGAAAUGAACAUGGUGGGUUCAAACUCUAAGGAGUGGUGGAUUGACACCGGUGCUACGAGACAUGUGUGCUCUGAUAAGGAGUUGUUUGCUGCGUUUGAAGCAAUUGAGAAUGGGGAUAAGUUGUUUAUGGCAAAUUGAGUAACUUCUGAAUCAAAGGUCAAGGAAAGGUGGUUCUGAAAGUGACCUCGGGAAAAAAAGUGACUCUCAACAAUGUGCUAUAUAUGCCAAAAAUUCGCAAGAACUUAGUAUCCGGGUCGCUUUUGAAUAAACAUGACUUUCGCAUUGUAUUUGAGUCAGACAAAGAUAUUUUGUCAAAAAGUGGAAUGUUUGUCGAAAAAGGAUAUGUUUCCAAUAGUAUGUUUAAACUAAAUGUAAUGAUUAUUAAAUCGAAAAUGAAUAAAGCAAAUUCUUUUGCUUAUUUUCUUGAGUCUUCCGAUUUAUGACAUGGUAGACUAUGACAUAUUAACUAUGAUACUUUACAAAGACUAGUUAACUUGAAUUGCAUACCCGAGUUCCACAUUGAUUCAAAACAUAAGUAUGAAACUUGUGUUGAGACAAAAUUGACAAGGUCAUCAUUUAAAUCGAUUGAACGGAACACAAAACCACUUGAUUUAAUUCACAGCGACGUAUGUGAUUUAAAACUUGUACAAACAAGAGGUAGCAAAAAGUAUUUCAUUACUUUUGUGGACGAUAGCAGCAAAUACUAUUAUGUGUAUUUGCUAAAAAGUAUAGAUGAGGUUAUAGAGAAAUUUAUUCUCUAUAAGAGUGAAGUUGAAACUCAACUUAAUAAGAAAAUUAAGGUGUUAAGAAGCGAUCGAGGUGGUGAGUAUGAAGCAUCGUUUGCGGAAUUUUGUGCACAACACGGAAUCAUACAUGAAACCACCACAACAAAACGAUGUUGCUGAAUGGAAAAAUAGUACUUUAAAGGAAAUGAUGAAUGCAAUGCUAGUAAGUUCUAGAUUACAUCAAAACAUGUGGGGGAAAGCUGUGUUAUCAGCAAAUUACCUUUUAAUUAAGGUGCCCCAAAAUAAAAUGGAAAAGACCCCUUAUGAGUUAUGGAAAGGAAGAAAGUCUUCCUAUAAAUAAUUACAAGUGUAGGGUUGUCUUGCUAAAGUGAUCGUUCCAACACCAAAGAAGGUAAGGAUAGAGCCAAAGACACCAGUAGAUUGCAUCUUCAUUGGGUAUGCACAUAAUGAUAGUGUUUACUGAUUUCUUAUGUAUGAUUCUAAAAUCCCAGACAUACACAAAAACACGAUAUUAGAAUCAGGAAAUGCUUCAUUCUUUGAACAUAUAUUUUCAUACAAGUCCAAAGAGGAAGCAAGCUCCUCCAAACGAACAUAUGAAACUAUGACUGAAAAUAGUCAUGACGAAGAAAUAGAAGAUGAGAUUGAGGUUAGACGUAGCAAUCGGGAAAGGACAGAAAAAUCGUAUGGUCAUGAUUUCCUGAUCUAUAUGCUAGAAAGUGAACCUCAAAGUUAUCAAGGUACUGUGAAUUCCUCGAAAGGACCUCAAUGAACGGAGGCCAUUAAAAGUGAGAUAGAUUUCAUAUUGCAAAAUCAUACAUAGGAGUUAGUAGAUCUUCCUCCAGGAAGCAAAUCACUAGGCUAUAAAUGGAUUUUCAAAAGGAAAAUGAGAGCAUAUGGAACUAUCGAAAAGUAUAAGGCAAAAUUAUUAAUAAAAGAUUACAAACAAAUAGAAGGCCUUGAUUACUUUGAUAUGUAUUCUCCAGUAACGAGAAUAACAUCUAUUAUGUUGAUACUUGCGAUUGUCGCUUUGCAAAAUCUUGAAGUACAUCAAAUGGAUGUUAAAAUUGCCUUUCUAAAUAGGGAUUUAGAAGAAGAAAUAUAUAUGGAACAACUCGAGAGGUUUUCGUCACCAGGGCAGGAAAAGAAAGUUUGUAAAUUAGUGAAAUCACUAUAUGGCUUGAAACAAGCAUCCAAAUAAUGGCAUGAAAAUUUUGAUAAUGUCAUGAUAGAGAGUGGAUUUAAAAUCAAUGAGUGUGACAAAUGUGUUUACGUCAAAGACACUAAAGAUAGUUAUGUCAUUUUAUAUCUUUACGUUGACGACAUGUUUAUUGUUGGNCUGCUGUCAUUGAAAGAUACAGUGAUGCUAAUUGGAUAUCUGAUAUAAAAGACUCAAAGUCCACCAGUGGAUUUGUGUUCACAUUGGGAGGUGCUGCCAUAUCGUGAAAAUCCUCUAAACAAAUAGUAAUAACCAGAUCUACGAUGGAAUUUGAGUUUAUAGCUCUAGAUAAAUGUGGUGAAAAGGCUGAAUGGUUACGCAACUUCUUAGAGGAUAUUCCAAUAUGGUCAAAACAUGUGCUAGCAAUUUGCAUAUAUUGUGACAGCCAAUUAGCAAUAGGAAGAGCACAGAGUAACAUGUACAAUGAUAGGUCUAGACAUAUAUGUCGUAGACACAAUACCAUAAAACAAUUACUCUCAACUGGAGUUAUCACUAUUGACUACGUAAGGUCAAAAGAUAACAUUGCUGAUCCACUAACCAAAGGAUUAAAAUAGAGAGUUAGUUGGGAAAUCAUCGAAAUGAAUGGGACUUAAGCCCUUGAAUGAAUAAGACAUUACAAAAGAAACCCAAGCUAAUUGACUGGAGAUCCCAAAAUCUAGGUUCAAAUGGACAAUCUAAUUGUAAAAGCUUAAUAAAAAAUCUGUGGGGGUGUUUUCUCCUGUCCAUUCCUAUGAUGUGAUAGUGAUGUCCGUACCUGUGAUGUGACAGUGAUGCCCGUAAGGAUGAAUAAUAAGCAAUAGGCUUUUAAUGAUUCUUAUGCAUCAAAAAUCUAGUCAAGUAAUGAGGGUUACUUGUAAUAAGAAAUCACUUAUGUAAGAGAGAAGUGGGGCCGCUUCUAAGAGAAUUGUGUAAAGCUCAAUUCUUAAGAACUCUCAUAAAACCAGGCAUAUGUUCAUGGCCAAUACGAACAUAAUAAUGAGAAUUGAAUUGUGUUAGGAAGAAUCCUGUGUGGAGUAUAUCAUCGUUUACAUAAAUGGCAGAACAGUUUAAGGACAACAUGUGUACUGGUCAAUUAGUAAAGUAAAUAUACUUUCACAAGGGAAGGUUCAAAGGGUAAUACCUACCUAUCCUAUGCAGGUUUCAAUCGUUGAACUUUAUCACCUAGUCUUGUGUCUCAAAGUCACCAAAUCUUGUGUCUUACGGUCUCAUGUCUCUCCCAUUUUUCAUUCAUGUGGAGGAUUGUUGGAAAGAAUGAGUAAUAGCUCAUUUUUGGCAAAAUUUUCGGUGGGACCCGUUGGUCCAAUUUAGAAGAUCAAAGUUGAUCCGUGUUCUUCUCCCUGAGAACAUCAAAAUCAUAUAUUUAUUUGCCAAAAAUGAAACUUAGGUGAAUAAGAAAUUGGAACUCAAAGAUGACCAUUGGAAUAUGGUUAUGUGGGAAAAAAAUUGAAGUUAGUCCCACAUAGGAAAAACAUGAAAGCAAGAACCACUUUAUAUAGAAUUACACUUUAGAAUGGUGUAAUCAUGUGUAGCAUAGAGGCUCUCUCCACGUGUGCGCACAGGUAGGGUACAAAUCUCGGACCAAAAUUGCCUUCAAACCUUAAACUUGUGUGCGGGCGCAACCUGCGUACACAAAUGUCGGACCGAACAGAGCAAAAAUUGGCCCCUUUUGAGAGCCCACAUUUUGCAAUUUUUUCCUUGCUUUUUUCCACUGACUUUUGAGUUUCUGAAACUUCCAAACCUCCUAAAAAUUGAAGUGACUCCAAUAUUAAUUGUCAUAGAGUUAAUGACAGAUUUAUGCUAUAUUAAAUCUCAAGUUUUCUAGCAAUUAAAUAAAUGAAAAAAAAACAUACAAAAUUCUCUCUGCACAAAAAAAUUCUCAAAUUUUGUCGUCGUCUUCGUUUUGUCCAGUGAAGUCAUCGUGGUGGUGAUAUUGUUCAGACGCUAACUCGGUUCGUCGGAGUAGUUUCUGUAGUGCUCAGAUUUUGUUGGUUUUGCCGUUGUAUCCUGAAAAACAGACGCUCGGACUAGACCUCAAGCACUUACGGUGAGGGGACGAAUCUAUUUUAAGGAAAUUGUGAUCACACAAACCUCGGGUUAAAAGUCUAUAUUUAAAUUUAUAUGCUUUCCAGUUUAAAUCUCUGUGCAUUUCUUUAUAUGCAGAUUUACAUGCUUUCCAGAUUUAUUUAACUUUCAGUUUAAAUCUCUAUUUUUUGAAAUUUAUAUUACGUUUGUGUUUCUGCAAAUAAUAUAAUUACUAUACUUAUUCAAGUAGUUUAAUUCGUUUUAAUUAUCACAAUUUAGAUAAUAUUUUGUAUAUACGAACCGGGAUAUGAAAUCGUGUUUAUGGAAAUUCAAAUUCUAUGUUAUUUAAAUUAUUUUAUGAAAACAAACAAUUUGUCCAAAAUCUGUGUUGUUUAAGUUAUCAUAAAGUUUCUGCAAAUUCUAUUGUUAUGUCACUGUCAAAUACGGUGAGCUGCUUGACAUAUACGGUAAGCUGUCAAAUAUGGUGAGCUGUCUGGAAUAUACGGUAAGCUGCCAAAUACGGUGAGUUGUCUGACAUAUACGGUAAGCUGUCAUAUAAGGUGAAUUGAACUGCCAAAUACGGUAAACAAUUGUCAAAUACGGUAAGCGUGAAUUCAGUGUCUAAAUCACAUAUACGGUAUAUGAGAACCUAAUUUCACUCCAUACACUACUAAUUAAAUUUACCAACAGUAGAUUGAUGCUCAAUACACUAGACAUCAAAAUAUGUUGUCUGUCUUUUUUUUUCACUAAAGAAAAUCACACUCAGACUUGGUUAAUGUAAAAAGAGAAGAAAAUGCAUGAAAGAGAAUAUAUAAAUUAUGGUUUGUAUUUAGAGUUCAUUAACACUUAACAUAUCAUAAAAUAUCAGUUCGAGUUCCAUUAAAAUGAGAUUUUAAGGAAAAUUAUAUUUUAACAUAAUAGUUUUUUAAAGAAUGUAUGAUUAAAAAAUAAGAAAAAAAAGUUUGUAUUUAACAUAACAUUAUUUGAUGAAAAAUGUGGUCCAAAUGAGUUUUGGAAAAACUCUUUCUUUUGUCCGGUCAAAAUGGAGCCCAAACAAGGGCAAAAUGACUUAGAUAACCUUGGCAUGUUUGAGCACUGCAUGUUUGUAUCUUCUAUAUAUAAUUGAGUUUGGCAAGUCUUCAACGUUCAAAACAAAUUGAGUAAUCAUUACGUACGUAUAUUACCCGUGACAAUACUAAAAACAUAAUUUCUCGAGUUAUACUUCAUGUAAUAUUGUCUAAUGCCCAAUUAAAUUGAGUAUCAAAAGAUCAUAACACAAAUUAUGUGAAAAGUAUAAUCACUUAAAUUAUAUUGGAAUAAGAUGGGAUCAAAAAUAGUUUAAUCUUGUGAAUCUACAUCUAAAAGUAGAAUUCAAAAUAUAUUUGAGAUGCGUUUAUGAAUAAGUGAAGUUAUAAUUAGAUAAAAAUGAAUGGUAAAUAAAUGAAUAGUACUUAUGAAAAUAUUUAAGGGUCCGUUUGAUUGCAAGAAUAGAAUUUGAGUGGAAAGAAAACAAAUUUCAAGAAAUUGAAUUGUCUAGAACUUAUUUUAUUGGAAAUUGUUAAUUAAACGUGUUUGAUUGAUAUAAUUUUUUACCGAAAAAUGUUGAAAUUUUAAAUCUUUUGAUUUUCGUUUGGCUUUGUUUUUAUGAAAACUGUCAAUCAAAUAGAUAAACUUUGUUACAAUUGUAGAUAGAAAUUUGUUUCCAUUGCAGCCCAAAAAAAAAAGGUGGAAAACCCAAUUCCCACGGAAUUGAUUUUGCUUAAAAAGCUAGAAAAUGGGUCACGUAAGGGGGGGUGGGGGGUGUUAGUCUAGAAAAGCAAUUCCGUGAAAAAUUUUGAUCAUCAAAUAACACAUUUGGAAUGGACAAUUACCAUGAAAUAUUAAGGUAUCAAACAGGCCUUAAAUGUAUAAGAGGGUGUUUGGGAGUCAUUUUUAUAUAAGAAUAUAUUUUGAAAUAGUAAAUUAAUGGAAAAUGUGUGGUUGAAAAAUAAAGAAAAGUUUUUGAUUUACGUAUAAUAUUAUUUUAAUGAAAAAUGUGUGAUUAAAAAAAAGAGAGAAAAUGCAUUUUGAAAAAAAAUUACCAAACGGAGCCUAAAUAAAAAGUAAAUUGGAUGUUGAUUAAAGCGUUUCAAAAGUAAGUUUUCUUAAGCAAAUUAAAUGAGCAUAUCCCAAAAAAUCAGCUAAAUAAAUAAAGUAUUUAAAUAAAUAAAAAUUGGUGGUUUAAAAAGUGGAGUCCACGACAAGACUUGAUUGAACAAUUCAUUUGUUAUUGGGCCCAUAAGGUCUGCCAAUUCAAGAAUGUGUCCCAUCAAUGAAUGGACCCUCCUAACCGCCCAAAAAUCCCCUGCCAGGUUCAGCUGAAUAAAAGGCCCCCUACAAAUCCAAACAUGAAAUCUUUGUUAAAUAGGUGAUAUGACUGAUUUGAUGCCCUAAAAAGCCUUAGGGAAUGACGAACUUUUUGCACAGUAUCUAACAUGUACUCAUACAUUUCUUUCCAUGAUCGAUCGAGCUGGGCGUACAUGCCCAAUUCCUUACAGACCCCUUCUAGGGUUUUACGUGGGGUAAGGUCGAGAUAUUUAUUUUUAUCAUUUUUUAUUGCCUCAGGGGCUGCAUGGGGCCAAUCCAUGAAAGAGGUAUAUAAGGUCCCUAUGAAAUGAAGCCCUGUACACAGGAUUUUAUUCUUGUACAAUCGUGUCUAUUUGAAGAGCUAGACUUAUUAUAGUCGAUUUAUUCAAAAUAGAUCAAGUGCUUUUUUUUUUUUUUUAUUUUAGGUCAAUCGACUCAAAGAUUUAUAUGUUAUAUUUUGAAUAGAUUUUGAUUGUAACUUCACACAUUCUAACCUUGGAGAUAUGACAAAAAACCUAUUAGUUCGUAUGACUUAAAAGAACGUGAUAGCAUCAUCCAUUUUUCAAAGAAGAAUAGAAGAAUGAACCAAAAAUAUUAUCAUUAUGCUUCAAUCGAAUUAUUGUAUUUAAUUCCUUUUUAAAAAAACUAAAGUAAAUCAAAACAUACGCUAUUUGUAUAUUUAUACAAAACUUCCUCUUGAGCACAUACAAGGAUCGUAGAGAGUCGAGUGAAAUUCAAUUUGUAAAAGUCAUUGUAUUAAAGGUCAUAAUGCAAGAGGAAUUAUAAUUGCAAGACAUGGAAAAGGAGGUCAUGUACGUUCAUACUAUAAAAUUGUUUUCAAUUAUAAAAAUCGUCCAAACUUUUUAGCUUGUCAAACUUCAAUUUUAACUACACGUUUCAUGAAAAAAAAAAAAACAACCUUUCCAAGCUCACAUUACAUCAAUUUUUAUCAAAAAGUUCUGAAACUUUUAUCAAAAACUUAAUUGAACAACUGUUACAUUUCACUAUUCACAAUUAAAGAUUAAUCAAUUGUUUGGCAAACAAUGUAAAUGAUUAAACUUCAUUUUUUACCACACAUUUUUAAUAAACUCACAAAUACCAACCACUUAUUAACUACUCAUUUUAGUCUAUUUAUAAAUUAAAUCAAUUAUAUGUUCUUUCAGAAUGAAAUUUAAUUAGUUUGUGUAUUUGCAAUUACUUCAUUUUUAUUUAACUUUAAUCAACAAAAACUUUCAACUUAACUACAUUAUCUUGUGACAAAAAGUCAAUUAUUUUGAUCGUAAAGUAAAAAGUUACUUUAUUUGUUUAAUUUAUAUAUAUAUAAACUUUUUACUUAUAAGAGCUAAAUUGUUUAAGCUAGCUCAACAUGUACGUCAAAUUAGACCCAAAUUCAAGGCUUUAACAGCCUUAUCCAAAGCUUAUGGGCCCUUCCAAUGGCCCACCAGUGAACCCACUGCACAUUGAUUACCAACUGACUGAUUUGACGAGCUCGAGACAUCAAUCCCACGCUUGGUUACUUGGGGUACUGAUGAUUUUGAUGGUCAAUUUAAAAAUCGGUGGACGAGAACUAAACUCCUCUUUGCCCUGUGAAAAUAUUAAUGGGUAGAAUAAUUUUAUUUUUUUAAAUGAGCGGUUAAAAAAGAAAGAAAAAUUUUAGAUUUACUUAUAAUAUUAUUUUGUGGAAGAUUGUGUGGUUAAAAAUAUGAGAGAAAAAAAUAAAAUGUAAUGGAAUGAAAAUUAAUAGGGACCAAACGGGGCUAAAACUUUCACCUCUCACUCUCACUCUCUCUCUCUCUCUCUCUCUCUCUCUCUCAACCUUUUUAACUUUUCUCUUUUUCUUUUACCAUUUUCCGAUACACUCUUCUCUUCUUCGUUGCUUGAACAAAAGAAUAAAGCAGGACUAGGAAAUAUACAUAAAAACAAAAAUUCAUUAGUAAAAAGAAAUCGACUAGCAGUAUACAGAAGAAAUCAACAAUUGAGUUGAACGCACUUUGAGAAAAAAGUGUAGCAACAAUUGAUUAAAUUGAACAUUUGAACUAUAAAGCAGGCAUUUUAAAUGAAAACAUGAAAGAUACUAAUUUUUGCUUUGAUCACUAAAGAAGGAUUAUCUCCACAAGUUGCCAGCAAAUCUGAGGCCACACUCCAUUGGAAUAUGAACUAAACCAUUUUAAGUACAGAGCUGGGAUUUCUAUUGAUGUAUGAACAAUGAUUCUUUAAGACUUCAAAUCCAAAAAAAAAUCAUGAGAUCAAGUCAAGAAAUCAACAAAAAGGGACUCCUAGGCGAACUGAAGAGAGAAAACUGAUAAAGAUUUCAUUUUACAGAAAUUUUGCGGUCCAACCUCUCAUUUUGGGGUUCAAAGCUCCAGGUUCAGCGGUUGUCUUGCUGUUGUUCUUUAUCCAAAACGUGAGUACGGAAGAUGCAGCAGCAAACAUGACCCUACAAGGUGCCCAUUUUAGGCAAGAGGCGACGCCUAUGUAGCUAUCCCAGGACGCCACCUACAAAUGGGUAAGAGAAUUUGUUCAGAGACACGAAUAUCUUCCAAAUCCCAAGCAACAACAAUUAAUGUGGAAACAAUUCUAUAAACAUCAUGGUUUUCCAACCAGCCUACCAUGCACAUGUUUGGCUAAGCUUAGAAAAAUGUCAAAUUUAAUUUUUAAAGAACUCUUUAAUUCCCAAACGUUUUUGGAUAUGUUACUUUUUGCUUUAUAAAAAUUACUAACUACCAAAGUAAAUCAUACCCCAAUGUCAAAAUAAGAAACUUGGCUUUCAGCUAAAUCGAAAGACAUGGAGCAUUACAAAUUUACAGAUGAAGUAGAAGGGCCCACAACUGCUGUCACAGGAAGUUUAACAGGCUUAGAAAAUUGUCUUUGUAGACAGAACUUGAGCAAUAUCACAAAAGCUUCCAUCUUCAUUCUUCAAAUGGUUUGAUUAGAUCAUAUUGGACACGGACAGGAAGAUUACGUUGUCUAGCAUAUCGAUUCUCCACACAGGCAGAUUUCCAUCCCCAGAACCUGGAACCGAAUCAAGAAUCAAUUUCAAUUACAAUGUCAUAAACAAAUACCAGCAGAAUUGAGUGCCACGAGGCUGAAAAAAUCCCUGGAAAUCUAAGACCUAAGUGGCAGGUGUCGAUUUUAUAUUUUGGAGAUGUUGCUGUAAUUAUGGCUUGAUGUUUGAGAACAUAACUUGCCUCACCUUUCCUAAGGAUGUAGUCCACAACUAUUGUCAUUACAAAUAUCUAAUAGCAUACUAUCAUCAUACAACUACCAAAAUAAUAUUACCACUAAUGUCUUACCUCUAAUAUUAUUAAUGACAAGGGAAAAGAAGUGGUACCAGAAACCAAAUAUUGGCCAUCAGGUGUAAAUGUUGCCUCUAUUGUUGUAUCUGGUGACGGAUCCACCCUAAACCCACAUUUCUGCAACAGAAAAAGUUGAACUUUUUAAACUAGCAUAUAUUGCCACAACAAUGAAACACCCAUUACAGAAGCUACGUUUUCAACGGCCAAGUGUAUUGUACAAGAUCUUAUGCAACGUGAUGGAAAAGUUCAACAAGACAGUCAGGCUAACCUUCUCUCAUGCAUGUGAUAUGUAGUUUUCAGCAACCUGAGUUUUAUACAAAGUCAUUAAAGGUAAAUUCCUCCAGGGAAAAGAUGUGGGUUCAACGAGGUUGCACAGGGUCUUAUGGCUAGCUAACGGUCUUACUUUGAUGUCAUAAACUCACACCGAAUAGUCGUCACUAGCUGUUACUAAUAAAUAAGCUGUCCUAUGAAAAUCAGCGGAAUUAAUUUUUCCACCCUGAACAAGAGAUGGAUAAAAUCUAGAGCUAAACAAACGUUCCAAAUCCUGAUCAUCCAGUGUACUUCAAUUUCAACAUAACAUACAACUGAAAUUUAUUCCAACAGCGUCCUACCAAAUUAAACAUACACACGCUUACACGUAAUACACUCACUCCCAGUUUGUCGCGAAACAAAUUUGCAAAUUAAUACAAAACUUUCAAGUUAAUAAUCACAACUUUAGCAUAAUGGAAAAAUUCAGGAAACAGAAAGUCGAAAGCAGAGGACUAACAAAAUCCGAGAAGACGGUUCCAAUUGAUCUGCUGCGAACUACAUCGUUGUUGAGUUCUGAAAGUGAAGUCAUCUCAAUCCAAGAUCAAUUCUUGAGAAGAAAGAACACGAAUUGAAUUAAGAUUCCUAAUGGGCAAUCACAAAAGUAUUCCUGAAUUAUAAAUAUCACUGUGCCAAUAGGAAUUUUAUUAGGGGUUUAUGUGUUUAAGGUUCAACGGAUUUGCUUUUGGUUAUUCUAUACGUCCAAUCAAAUAAUUUCUAAGAGAAUGUAAAUAAUCUGAUUAUUAGUAAAUAACAAUUAUACAUCUGCAACCCAAUUAUUAUUACCAUUGUAUCCUUAAUUCUGACUCUAGUUCUCAAUAAGAUACACACAAGUCUAUUAACUUCUCCAUUCUUCUCUCCUUUUCUCUGUAUUUUAAUACACGUUAUCAACCUGAAAUUUUUUAGGUAAAAACGCGAAUUAAAUUACUCUAUUUCUUUACGUGUUCAUUUUUCUAUAUGUGUUUAUGUAAAAAAAUCAACAGCUUUUCCUCGAUAUUUGUUCUUUUGGAAUCAAUAGUUUCUUCUGCAUACAAUAUUUUCAUUAUAUCAAUCAAUUGCAUGAUGUCCAUGAUGUCCAAUCAAUUGCACGUAUUUAAUAAUUACGUACUUUUACGUUUUCGUUUGGUGUGCAUAUAUGAAUGAACCAUUAGUUAACAUCAUAUAUCUGUAAAAAUUAAUUGUAAAUGCACAUCUUUUUUUUCUUGUUUAUCGUUCGAUUUCGUAUUCUUAUUUUUUAAUACGUAGUAUAAUUUAUGAAUUUGGUACUCUUAUAUCUAUCUAUUAUAAAAUAUUAUUGUUUCUCAAACAGCACACUAUUAUUUACAUAUAUUCUAGUUGUAUUUUACUUAUUCUCAAAGAAUAUAAUUAAAUACAAUCUAACAUAAAUUAUAUUUGUAUACUUAAAGAGUAAAUUCUUAUACAUUUUAUUAUUUUAAAUAAUAAUAUGUUACUACUCUUGAAAAGCAUGAUAUUAUAAUUCUCAAUAUUUCAAAAGAAUAUUGGUAUAUUACUCUUAAAAAAGCAAUAGCAUAAUACAACGUACUCCCGAACUAGUAUAUGUUUCGAAGAAUAUAUCAUUUUGAAUUAAUAUUUAUUGAAAGAAAGUAUAUAGUUCAAGUCAUGCUAAUAUUGAUUAGUUAUCGUGUGAUUAUACAAUGUUUAAUCACAUCCUUCAAAAUUAAUUGUAUUUUUUACUUGAUUAUGCAGUCACUCAAAUGUCAAAUAUCACGAAACUUGAGUUUGUUGCACUCAACAUAUCUGGUAAAAAUUAUGUCACGAGUCCUCGAUGUUAAAAAAUUCACCUUGUCUCCAAAGGUUUGGGAGAAAUUAUAAAAGAAAAUCAAGAAUUCUUGUAGGAUCGAAUACCUAACUAUGAAGUAUCCAUAGGUUUGUUGGAAAAAAUUGAUUGGAAGAUUUGACAACUAGAAAACUGUAAUCCGUCCUAAAGCCCAAUAUGAAUAAAUGCAUUUUCGCAUGCAAGAUUUUAAAACUGUUAAUAACUACAAUUUUAAAAUGUUCAGAAUAUGUAUAAAAUUGACUGUGAUGAAAAAAUCAUUGAUGAAAAUAUGUUAAAAAAAAGUUUCCACCUUUCAUACCUCUAAUGUUCUCCUAUACUAACAGAAUGGUGAGCAGGGUUUCAAAAAGUAAUUAUAACUUAUAUCUUGCAGUUGAACAAAAUAAUGAUCUGCUCAUUACGUCCAACUAGUUCUAUACCAUUGCUUAAUGUAAAUGGUAUUGCAUUGCCUGAAGCAAAUGCAAUAUCAAGUCGAGGAUGUGGACGCAGACAUGAGAAAAAUCAUAGAGGAAAUAAUCAACAAAACUAUCAGUAACAAUUCAACAAUUUGAAAAUGUAUUAAGCAAAUGAAAGUAGUAUAACCAAAAAAUAGCAUUAAAAAUUGCUUUAGAUAUAGAAUGAAAAAGCAUUGGGCACGUACCUCUCGUAUGGCAAAACAUCUUAUAAAUCUCUACCAAAAAUCAAUCAAGAUAAAAGGCAAAGUGUUGACAAAUUUCACUGAUUAUAAUGAUCCAAAUGAUGUGACUCACUAGGAUGUCUUUAAUUUUAUUGUUGAGCCAAAUGAAAAUAUUGAUUAUCUAAUCAGAUAAUAAAUUCUAAAUAAAAAUAAACUAUUAAGAUAAUGAAAAAUAAACUAAUCAAUAUUAUCGAGCACACUACCUUCGAUUAAAUGAUCAAUAUUGCCAUUUAAGUCAACAAAACAAUUAGAAACGCCCAAGUGAGUUAUACUAAUUUUGUCUUUACUUUUUCAUUUUCCUUAUUGAUUUUUGGUAAAAAUCCAUAAGAUAUUUUACCGUAGGACAAGUACGUACCUAAUAUCCUUUCAUUUCACAUCUAAAGCAACUUUUUAUGCUCUUUUUUAGAUAUGCUACUUUCUUUUACUUUAAGCUUUUGAAAUUGUUACCUGGUUGCUAAUAGUUUUCGCCUAUGUCUGUGGACACAUCCAUGUCCUUGUCUUGAUAUUGCAUUUUCUUCAAAUAAUACAAUCUCAUUUGUUUCAGACAAUACAGUACCAUUUACUUCAAGUAAUGGUAUAGAACCAAACUGACAUAAUCCAAAAUUUUUCAUCUACUAUUCAUUAUUUUAUUAAGCUACAAGCAGGCAAAAUAUGAGUUCUCAGUACUUUCUAAAACCACACUCAUGAUAUUGCUGUUGUAGGAAUACAUUCGAAGUAUGAAAGAUGAAAAAAGUUAUCCAACAAAAUUUUAUUAGUGAUUUUUUCUUUGCACAAAGUCAAUUUUGGACAUUUUCUAAACACUUUAAAAUUAGUCACUAACAAUUAAAAUUUUUCAAGUGAAGAUACAUCUAUUCAUAACGGGUUUUUAGAAAGACUACAGUUUUCAGGUGGUCAAAUCUUUUCAAUAAAUUUUUUUCUAAAGAAUCUGUGGAUCCUUCACAACAACAUAUUCGAUUUUCAAUCCAUCAUGAACAUAGUGACGAAGGAAAAUAAGUACUUUUACACGAUCCUACAAAAAUUCUUAAUUUUUUUCUUUUAUUAUCUCUCUCAUACCCUUUGAGAUAAAGUAAACCUCGGUAUCUAAGACUUACGACAGAUAAUUUUUACCAGAUUUAUCAAAUGAAACAAACUAAAGUUCUUUAAUGUUUUUCCAUUUGAAAAACUACACAAUUAAGCAAAAGAAAAUACAAUUAAUUUCAAAAAAUAUGAAUAAACAUUAUAUAAUCACAUAAUAAUUAAUUAAGUAAUUAAUAUCAACAUGACAUGAGCUAUAUGUGUUCCUUUAGGAUAAACAUUAAUUCAAAAUGAUAUAUUCUUCUGAAACGUCCUACUUCGGGAGCAUGUAGUAUUUUAUUAUUGUUUGUUCGAGAGUAAUAUGUAAAUAUUCUUCUAAAAUAUUGAAAAUAAUAAUAUCACACUUUUCAAUACCAAUAACAUUAUUUAGAAAAAUAAAUUAUAUAAGAAUUUAUUCUUUAGGAGUACAACAUAAUUUACGUUAAAUUGUAUUUAAUUAUUUCUCCGGGAGCAAGGAAAUCUAUCUAGAAUAUAUGUAAAUAAUAGUAAGCUACUUCAUGAGCAAUAAUAUUUUGUAACAGACAAACAUAAGAGUAACAAAUUCAUAAAUUAUAUUGCAUAUUAAAAAAGAAUGCGAUAAUUACUCAAACGAUAAACAUGAAGCUAAAAAAUAAGACAGAUAUGCAUUCACAAUUAAUUUAUGCAAAUAUGUAUGUUGACUAAUAAUUCAUUCAUAAAUGCACAUCAAACAAAAAUGUAAAAAUAAACAAUGCAAUUAAUUGGAUAUUGUGCAAUUGAUCGGAGCAUUGAUUGACAUCAUGGAAAUAUUGUAUACAAAAGCAAUUGUCAAUUCUCAUAGGAACAAAUAUCGAGGAAAAAUUGAUUACUUCACAUGUAUACAUAAAUAUGUAUGUAGAAUAGACACGUUAAGAAAUAGAGUAAUUUAAUUUGUGCUUUUACAUAAAAAAUUUCGUGUUGAUAACAUAUUAUAAAAUAGAGAGAAAAGGAGAGAAGAAUAGAAAAGUCAAUAGACUUUUAUGUAUUUUAUUAAGAACCGGAGCCCAUAUUUAUGGAGAAUAAUUAGAGAUACAAUGAUAACAACAAGAGCACAAGUACAAUUGUCAUUCACUAAUAACUAGGCCAUUAAAUGAUCUACCUUAAACUUGCUGUCAAAGUUUGUUAGAAAUUUGCAUGGGCUCCUAGUAAUGUUUAAAAGCAAUAAUUGCUAGAACCAAUAGUUAAAAAAUAAAACUUGUCUAGACUUUGCGAGACAAGUAUAUAAUGUAUUUCCAGCAAACUCAAAGAAUAUAUCCUCUUCUACUAAAUUGCAUGGGAUGAAAAUGCAUGAACGGAUUUCCCUCUGUUAUGAAUGCAUCCAAGUAAAAAUCUCCAAAUCAAUCUUAGUAAAUAAUGCGGGUAGAAUUACUUAUUGGAGCGAUCUUGCUCUCCUAAUAUCAGCAAUUAGUGGAAGAUAAACCAAGUAAGGCAUGAGAUCUCACCUCUCUUUGUGACCCGUAAAGUUGCGAAGACACCUAUUGUCAUACCAUAAUAUUUCUGGCAACAAAAUGAUCGCGAAGAGAAAAAAAUGUCAGAACUUCGAUGUCAUAGUUCCAAAAUCAUAAAUAUAAGGCUAAAGCCACUAAACUCCAUAGGAAUCCAAAUUGUGCCUUGAAUAGCACAUGACAGAACCCUGGUGGUGAGUAAAACAUAUCCUAUCAGCUCCAUGCUUCUUGUGAUAUGUAGUUUUCAGCAACCUAAGUUUUAUACACAGUAAUUAGAGGUAAAAUCCUCCAGGGAAAAAGAGAUGUGGGUUCAACGAGGUUGCUCAGGUUCUUAUGUCUAGCUAACUGUCUUUCUUGGCACUUGUGAUGUCAUAAAGUCGCACCAAAUCGUUGUCACAAACUGUUACUAAUAAAUCAACUGUCCUAUGAAAAUCAAUGGAAUUUAUAUUUCCACGCUGAACAAGAAAUUUAUAUAAUCUAGAGUUAAACCAACGUUCCAAAUCCUGAUCAUCUAGAGUACUUUAAUUUCAACAUAACAUUAAACUGAUUCAUUCCAACACCAUUCUACCAAAUUACACAUACACACGCUUACACAUAAUACCCACAUUCCCAGUUUGUCGCGAAACGAAUUUGCAAAUUAAUACAAAACUUUCAAGUAAAUAAUCACAACUUUAGCAUAAACGAAAAAUGCUGGAAACAGAAAAUCGAAAACAGAGUACUAACAAAAUCGGAGAAGACCGCUCCAAUUGACUUGCUGUGAACUACACUGUUGAUAGGUUCCGAAAGUGAAUUCAUCUAAACCCAAGAUCAAUUCUCGAGAAAGAAACAGAAAGAACGCAAAUUGAAUUAAGAUUCCAAAUGGGCAAUCAAGAAACAAUUAAUCGCUAUAUAAUUUGUGAAUUAUAAAUAUCACUGUUCUAAUAGGAAGCUUAAUGAGGAGUUUAUGAGUUUAGGGUUCAAGGGAUUUGUUUUUCUUUUUCAUUUUCUAUCCGUCCAAAAAUAAUAAUAUAAUAUCUUCUCUUUUGUUAGCCUCUUAUAUUAUGAAUGUAAUUACUUUUUUAUAAGAUUCACAACUUUUCAAAUAUACAGUUCAUCAACUUUUUAUAAAAUAUACGAAGAGCAUGUUUAAGCUCCAUUUUUCUUAAGAAUGCAUUUUUGAACUUGUAAUUACUAUCAUUUGAUAUUUGUUUUGCCAAAAUACAAUUUUCAGUAAUUAUAUGAUGCGGAUAUUUGUAAUAAUAUCAAAAAAAAAAUUUCUCCCUUCAUUGUGUGCAUCCGUUCUCAUUCUAUCCCUUUUAUUUAUUUUCUCUACUCUUGCUCUUGCAAGCUCUCGUCGCUUGUUUAUUUUUAAUUUUUCUACUUUGCAAUUCUAGAGACGAUUUUUUUAAAAAAAAAUUUUGGGUUUAUUGGGAUGUUACGAGAGUUUCAAGUAAAAAGACCACAAACAAUGAAGCAGUGAGACAUGAGCAAAAAUGGGGGAAAUGGACAUUGGGGAGGGUAAAUGUUGGACAAACGAAUAAGAAGGAUUAUAUAACGACGAAUGUAAAUUAGAUGACAUAAAAUAUUAUUGGGGUAAAUAAGAAAUUAGUCGUAAAAAGGAAACUCUUUAAACAAGUUUCUCUUGUCUUGUAAUCCAAUUGUUUCCCAAUUGCUAGUGAACUGAAAAGAACUGUCUCAAAGAAAUUCAUAUAUAUUAUAAAAUUAUGGAUAAUUAUUAAUGAUUAUUUAGUCUAUAAUAAUAUACACACUUUUUGACUCUAUUACUUUUCUUCCAACGUUUUCUUUUCCUCUUAAUUUUACAAAAUGUUAUCAACACUGUUGGUGAAAUGUCCAAAAAAUCUUGAAAUCGAGAUCAGUUUAUUCACUAAACAAACACCAACCGAGAAGGCUCUAACCCAUAACUUCUACACUCCGAUUGCCACAAGUUUUCAAUUCACAAAGGAGACACUUGGUAGUGAUUAAAUGCACUCAUGACGGAGGAAGAGAAUAGAGGUAACAAUGGUUGAAUUCCAAUUCCCUCCAAGACGGAAGCCCUGACCUUUCUCUCUAUGCAAUUCACUCACACUCACGAUUGGAGGUAAGGGAAUGGAUAUAAAGCCAAAUCAUUUAAGUCACCAUAUUGGACCAAGACUCAAACAAAUUGACCAACACUUCAAAACCAAGGCAAUUCAUAAAAUGGGCCAACAUAUCACCAAUCUAAAACCACAACUUGGGACAUCCAUGAAUGUUGGAUCUCGAGCAACAUUAACUUAAUUAAGGAAAAAUUCCAAAUCUAAUAGAUCAAGUAUAACUCAUUUCAAAACUAAGAAAUAAAGUUUAAAACUUAAAAAUCAUAUAAUAAUUAAAAUUUAUUUAUGAAAUAAUUAAUUAAAAUAUAUUUCAUUAAUUAAAUAUAUUAAGGUCACAAUUGUGUAUUAUUCGAUCACAAAUCAAAUUAAUUGGUCAUAAAUUAUUUCUCUGUCACGAAUAAAAAUUUUAUAGGUCACGAAUUAUUUUUCGGUCACAAAUCAAAAAUUUUAUAGUCCAUAAUUUAUUUCUCCAUCACAAAUUAAAAUAUUUUAUAAGCCACAAUUUAUUUAUCGGUCAUAAAUCAAAAAAAAUUAUAGGUCACAAUUUAUUUAUUGAUCACAAAUCACAAAUUUUAUCAAUCAUAACUUAUUUUAUAAUAACAAAUUAUCAAAUUAAUUGGUCACAAGUUAUUCCUCAAUCAAAAAUUAUUGAAUUAAUGGGUCUCAGCUUUCCAAAUUCUAGUUAUGAUUCCAAAUUUAGUCACCAUCACAUGUUCUUUUAGAUCACAUAUUAUUUAUUGGUCACAAAUUAACCAAUUUAUUGGUCCCAACAAUCAAAUAAUUGAUUAUAAACCCUCUUCAUCGCCACCGCCACAACACUAACACCACUAUCACCAACGCCACUACCACCAACACUGCCACCAACACCAGCAACAAAUGCCGCUGCUGCAGACGCCACCAACUGUAGUUGCAAUGAUGUCGAUUGAUGUCGCUCCCAGCACUGGACACUACCAUCUCGCUUCGUAGUUACUCUUUCUACAAAGCCACAAGAAGAACCACCAAUCUUCAUCAAAUUGAGAAAACCACAACCACUUUUUCUCAAAACCAGAAAAUACAAAUUAAAACCAAGAAAACCACCAAUCUUUCUUCACCACUACCGGCUCCUCAUGAUUUUUGGUUUUCUCAUCAAGGUUUGUUCGAUUAGGGAUUUAGAUUUAAGUUUUUGAUAAGCGAUCUAAAGGGUCCACGGCGUAGGUGAAGGGCUCAUGGAACCACAACAGUGGUCCUGUGCGCGACUGUGCUACAUGCAGCAAUCCGUCAUGCGCGACGGUCAUACGAAUGGCAACACAACAUGCGAUUGCCUAAGGGCACAUGUCUAUAAUGGUUCUUCACGCUAUGGUGAUCUUGCACAGUGUAGUGGUUAAUAUUCGAAGCGCGACCAAUAGUGGUUGUUUUCCAGUGUGGGGGGGGGGGGGGGGGGGGAGAGAAAGAAAGAGGACACAAUUUUUUUAAUGAGAUGGGGGUGUGGAUGAUGGGAUGAAUUACUAGUAACAUAUUUUUUAAAUACAUAUUAAAUAAUAAACUAUAAUCUGAAUUUUGAAACAUGAAACUUAGAAUAUGAUUUAUGAAAUGUAUAUUUAAAAACAGGCAUAUAUGUAAUUUCCACCUUAAUUAAGUUAAGUGACCCAAGUUGUUUUCGAAUUGAGUCAUCGCUAAGGUUUCGAUAUAACUUAUCCAACAUCAUUUUAACAUCAUCUUUUGAAUUUAUUGGGUAUCAAAAUCCAACAAGAACAAUUCUUUAAUUAUCAUACAAACAAAAUAAGUCAAUAUUUUUCACAGAUUUAUUCUUCCUAAAUAAAUUUGUGCAUUGUUUUGUAUUCCAAAAGAAAUAAUUCUCAAUUAUACUAAUGAUACCACUUAAUAUUGAAAACCGCAUAGAUUUUGUAUUUGGCCAAUAAGUAAAGAGGAUGUAGGCAGAGCAAACUUCAUGCAUAAUUACAACCUUGCAAUUGCCUUUGGUAACACCCGUAAUUGUGCUAAUGGAACCAAAUUUGACUAUUUAUUUAUUUAUUUAUUUAUCAAUAAAGGUAAACGUCUCAUGUGCAAUUUUCUUAGUUAUUCUCCUCGAUUAUUAUUUUGUCAAUAUAUUGAUCAAUAAGAAGCAUAUUAUUUAUUCCUAUGUAAGAAUAUUUCGGAAUAAUGUAAUAUUAAUUCUCUGGAGAAAUAAACAUUAUGCUCUUAUCUUUAUAUAUUUUAAAAUAUUAUUAUGUUAUUGCUCUUAAAUAAGCAUAAAUUUUAUAUGAAUAGUGUUGGAAAAUUAUCAACACCGGGGUUUGAAGAGGAAAACAAUAAAUAGAAAUUCAAGAAGAUGAAAAUGAACAAGAAGAUCAAAACCAAUAUGAAGGCUCAAACAUUAAAUAAUCUUGCUGUCCUCGAAAGAUAUUUGUCCCAUCUCUAGAUUAUACGAGAUGCUUCAAGUGUUUUUACGGCAAACGGUUCGUAGGAUUGAUCAAGCCUUGUUGCAGAAAAAUACUAAAGCAUAAAUGUUUUUCCACUCGAACUUGAAGAACACAAGAGGGAAUUGCUUGAAUACGGAAGAAAUGAAGAUUGAUACUUUUUGUGGAAUGAAGUAUAUGUUUUAAUAUGUUUCUCAUAUGAUUUUUCAAUGUUAUUGUAUUGAUCCCUUAUCACCUAUUUAUAGAUAUCAAUUAAUAACCCACAAAUUGGUGCCAAAACAGGAUGAAGAGUUACAAAAAUCCCUCCAAAAGCCACCAAAAAACCAAUCAAAAAAGGGCCUCCAAUGGUCACUUUGUGACUUCCAUGCAACUGCAUGGUACAUAUCUUUUAAUAGGCCAUGCAACCGCAUGGCUUAUUGGCCCACGUGUUCGCGUGAAUCAAUGCAAUGGCUCCCAAUUGUUUUACUUAUUCCACACUCGGCUCUUAUUGAUGUUGAACAAUAUACAACAAUCCUCCACUUGUUCAACACUUAAUGAGAUCUCAUAUUCAAAGUAUACGAUACCCAUACAUAAGGAUUAGAUAUCUUUCGAUUUGAAUCCAACCAUAGUGUAAUUCAAAACAAAGUAAAGUUAGAAUCAAAGGUAGCUUGAAACUUUGAACCAGUUAUUCCAUGUGACAAUACCGGUAAGAACACACACACGAGUACCACGUGUUCUCAAGUUCCUCAAUUCGCUUAAUGCUUUUAUGGUCUUGAGCUCAUCCUAUUCAACAAACUUUUAAAAGAGAAACUCUAACUCUCUAUUGAGGCAGCACUACCUAGAAGUUCAUCUAGGUGAAAUUCUUCCAGUAUCUUUGUUACUUUUUAGAGGUACUUGUGUUUUAGCACUGAAUUUCAUUAAGAGCUUAAAGCGCAAUCCUCAUUCUAGUAACAACCAACAUUACUUUAACUAGGAUAAGGUCAUCAUGGAUUUGAAUAAUGCUGCAACUAUUCAUAUAUCGAAUGACUUGUUGUUAUCCUUUGAACCCGUGGAUCACCUUUUGAGUGAUGGCAGGUAGGAUUGCUGUCGUUGGUGGACCUUUUUAGUUAAGGAGUUUCAAUCUCAUGCUACUCGAAGUAGAUUCCACUGAGUCUCUAUUUAGAGAUUUAGAUUUAGGAUCCGCUAAGUCUCUACAGAAAUUACUCUAUAUUUGAUAAUUUCCUUAUGAAGUUCGGUCUAAGACUCUUAUGUCUAGACUUUCCAUUACAUGUAACUUAGUAUCUUAUUAAAUAUAGCUAGCCAACAAUCAAUUCAUUUAAUAGAUACAUCUUGCCACCACUAAGAAUUCUCUCGUGCUUCUCAUUAGCUUUAUUUAAAGCUUUACUGAUUUCCAAAACACGAUUGGAUGAUUUCUUUCAAUCCAUUACACUAGUGAAUCACUUUAAUUUGUAGAUUUCAUACUUUGGUAUUCACUUUUCAUCAUUGAAAUAUCAUAAUGAUUUUCAAUUUAUGAAUGUUCUUUAAUAUUCCAUUGGUUUGCAAGCGCCAUGACGUACUUUCACCUAUUUCAUCCACUUUAGACUUAGUGUAUAUUAACCUUAUAAUUGUAUAGGGAUUUUCUUUCUUUUCUCCUUCAUAGAUAUCUUUCUAUAAUUAAAAGGUUUAGAGAAUUAUAACAUUUAUAUUAAGUUACCCUACAAUUCUCAAUUAGGAAUUCAUAUGCAAUCUGGAAUAUUACGUCUUGAAUUUCUCAUAUAAGUUCACUAGCGUUAUUGAUAACCCCCACAUUUAGGGUCAUACUCGAACUUCAAGUUCAUCAAUAUGAACUUAGAGUUCAUCAAUAUGUUAACCCCCACAUUUAGGAUUAUACUUGAACUUAGAGUUUAUUAACUCUUUCAUAGUUCAUUCACUUAUCAUUUUGAUAAUACCAGUGAAAGUUUAGGUACUUUCCGAUAGUGGUCGUUAGGUUACAAUUACCUUCAAUCCAACUAUCUUGAUUUUGAUCACACAAUAUGACCAAGGUCAUCUCAUAGACCUACAAUGCUUUUCAAGUAUAAACCAACUCAAUUGGUUCCACAAUUGAAGUCCAAAAUGAAGAAGACCAAGUACUACUUUUCCAAACAUAAGUGAUUUAUCACCUUCAUGACAUUCAUAGAAUAAUAUUUCACCUUAUUCACAUUUGGCCAUUACACAUUUUAUCAUACUCACAUGCAAAUAUAAUUUUGCAUAAAUCAUCUCACUUAAUUUCAUAAAAUUAAUUGAGAUUAUCAUCAUAAAUCAAAAUUAGUAUAAUUUCCAACCAAAUAUGAAAAUUUAACCAACUAAUCUACCAUUCAUUUUCCAUUUUCCAGUAGAAAAAAUGAUCAUGAAAGUUCACAUAUUUCAAAUAGUCAUGGAAAUUCAUACACUUUCAACAUAUAGUUGGCAUUCUUCCAACAAUUAUGCAUCCAAUACACCACAAUGAAAGUGAAGGAAUAGAAACUUAUGUUCCAAACAUUUAUUGUAUAUAUUUGUUCUAUCUAUAUUUGCAAUCUUAUUAUCACAAUAAAAAUUGUCACGAAUUUGGAAAAGACAAUCAGCAGGGAUGCAUUUAAUAGAAAAAACAAAAUUAUUUUUAUGCCAAGCAUUUUCCAGAAUUUCCAUUGCCAAUCAUGCAUGCAAUAGACAUACCAACGAAAGUGUGUGCACUUUCAUUUAGACUAUAAUUAACUUUACUUGUAAAUAUGCAAAUUCUGCCUUGUAUUUUAAUGGGUCACCGUACUUUUAUAUAUAUAAAUCAACUUUCAUGUUUUUGAUUAAUUAUGGGAUAGCCAUCCAUUCAAUAGCAGUACCAUUAUCCGUCAAUUAUUGAGUUAUAUCAAUCCAUAUAAAAUUUAUCUGAUGUUUCCCAACACUUUGCAGUUUCUCCUUUUGACUCGACAAUCAUUCAUAGAUGAGGACAAAUAACCGCAAGCCACAAGACAAAUAAAUUCAUGCUACAUAAUUCCAAAGGGUUACACCUUUUCAGAAAUGAAUAAAUUGUCUUUAAUAAUUUGCAUAUACAUGCAGAGAAUUUAAUUUGGUAAAAAGGUGUAUAGAACAUUCAAGUUGUACAAAACCCAAUCAAAAUUCACAGGUACAAAUCACUUAUUGGAUUAAAAGGUACUAGCAAAGUAAUACAGGUAAAUAACACAAUCGAUUUUACAAUUGAUUUAAAUUGCAAAAAAAAAAAAAAUGAAAAAUCCAUCAUUUAAUUAAUCUACCUUGACGGCCACGUGCAUUUACAUAUAAUACUACAGAAUAUUCAUCAUGAUAUUGGAACUAUUUGACAGGUAAUAUGUUGUAGUCAACAGAUAUCGUUCAUGUAAUAUCAUGAUCUUUAUUGCACACAAAAAUAAGAGAUCUGACGUUAACUGGUUUAUGUCAUAUUUCCAUUCCCGUGAAUGUAUAUGAACACGUGUACUGAUAAUGUGCAAAUAAAAUUCACAAAACGUACAUUUUGUGUUUAUGGAAAUCAAUCAUAAUUUUGACUUACUGAAUUUGGAUUUAAGAGGGCACAAUGAUAACCAUUCAAGAUUUAUUUUCAUGAUAUUCGUCCCGUCAACAAAUCCUAACAAGAUCUUGAAUCAUUAUCUUGAUCGUCGCCAAAGUAGUUUCGUUCUCCAUCGCAAAAGUAUCAUUCGAGAUUGUUGAAAAAUUAUCAACACUGGGGUUUGGAGAAGAAACCAAGAAACGGAAAUUCAAGAAAAUAAAAAUGAGCAAGAAGGUCAAAACCAAUAUAAAGGCUCAAACACGAAAAUAAUCUCCUUGAAUGAUAUUUAUCCACUCUCUAGAUUAUACGAGUUGCUUCAAGGGUUUUUACGACAAACAGUUUGUAGGAUUGAUCAAGUAUUGUUGUAGAAAAAUAUUAAAGCAUAAAUGGUUUUCCACUCGAACUUGAAGAAUGCAAGCGGGAAUUGCUUGAAUAUGGAAGAAAGGAAUAUUGAUCCUUUUUGUGGAAUGAAGUAUACGUUUUCGUAUGUUUCUCAUGUGAUAUUUUAAUGUUAUUGUAUUGGUCCCUUAUUACCUAUUUAUAGAUGUCAAUCAAUACCCAACAAAUUGGUGCCAAAACAUGAUGAAGAGUUGCAAAAAACCCUCCAAAAAUCGCCAAAAAACUAACUAUAAAAGGGCCUCCAAUAGUAACUUUGUGACGUCCAUGCGACUGCAUGGUACAACACCAUGUGGUCGCAUGGUUCAAAGACGACACUGCCCCUGUAUCUCUGUAAUAGGCCAUGCCACCGCAUGCAUGGGUCAAUGCAAUAGCUCCCAAUUGUUUUACUUAUUCUACACUCAGUUCUUAUUGAUGUUGAAUAAUAUACAACAAAUAGCAUAAAAAAAUUGUGUUGAUACUCGUGAUAGUAUUGGAAGACAACCCAACUAUAAAAAGAUUCAAGAAGAGAAUUAUUUUGUUAUUCCCGAAAAAUUCAAAAAUUUGUACAAACUGAUAUUUUAAAAAAAAAUAUUGGGUUAGUUUCCAAGAUUAAAAUAUUAAAUUUUUACAAGUGUAAAUAUGAAUAAAUGUGUUAAUUACUCCUACAAAAGCACAAUUUAUAUGCUAAUAGUCCAUUUUUCUAGAAAAAUAUUUGAUUAUUUUAAAAGAGUGACUUCGUUCACAUUGGUAUUUUUAGAUAAAACAUUAUUCUUAUAAUCUUGAAGAAGCAUAAUUGUACAUAAAUUAGUACUUUAAUAUCUCUAAAGAGUAUGACAGAUUUCUUGUACAAGCACAAUAUAUGUAUCUAAACUUCCUACUGGGAUUUUAAAUAUUCAAUUACGUUAUGUAAGAGUGAAAAAUAGGCAUUUUUAUUCUUUCACUUACUUUUGUUACCUACAGUACGUCAACCAUCUAAUUGAAUUUAUCGCAAUUCACUAAAGGAGAAGAAAAUAAUAAUAGAAAUAAAUAUUAGUACAUCAUUAAGUUGUGUAGAUACUAUUAAAUGCUCUAGAAUAAUCAAUAUUUUGGUAUGUUGACGAAUGAAAUUUAACGUUCAUGAUCAUAUGUAACUUACUCAAAAAAUAUAAUUAUCUCAUACAAUUAUAAAUUAAAAUAUUAUUUCAUACACUCCAAAGAAGGUCCCCGAAAAUUUAAGGUUUUACAUAUUUGUGCAUACCAUAUAGGCAUAUGGUAUGUAUACUAGGUACGCACAAGAUGCAUACCAUGUGCACACUUACCACUAAUUUUCAUUUUUAGCCAAUUUUCUUUAUUAAUUUUUAGGGUAAUUAAAUUUAAAUUAUGGUAAAAUAUUUUUUAGAUUUAUAGUAAUCAAUCACACGAAGAUCAGGUGAGUGGAAUCAAGUUUUAUAAACGAAUUUAACAGAAUGUUUUUCCACUAAAGUUUUUUAUCUUGAUAUUUUCCCUUAAAUCUCUAUCUUGUUACUUUUCCAUGAAUAAGUCUAUUGCAAAUGAAAUUAUAUCUUUCUUUUCGAUAAAUGUCUCACGGUGAAUGAAUAAUGAGCUAUUGGGCAUGCCAACAAAUAAUCACGAUCAUGGUCAUGUAUAAUUCUCAUAUUACAAGUUAUUGAAGUGAUCCGGAUAAAUGAAAGAAAUUCAUGAAUGAUGAACAAUUGUGAUUAUAUGCUCGAAAAUGAAGAAUCAUGAUUUUAUGUUGAAACUGAUAGAAAUGGCGUACUUCAUGGAAAAAAUAUAUCACAUGAACAUACUCUCCACUCAUUAAAUUAUUAUUCACACAUUUCUCUAUAAAACCUUUUAGGAAAAUGGAGCAUCAGUAUUUAACGACAAGCAUUGAAGGUUGAACCAUUCAUCCUGGUCACUUUAAUUUGAGCCUGAUCUAUCCAGUUUGGUGCCAAAUCUUAGAGCUUUGAAAGGGGACUAUUUAUUUUCAAUUUUACUUAGAUUAAUUCCAUUAUUCACUUGAUAGAUUGCUCAUUUUGUAUUUGUUAAUUAUUUAUUAAGUAAAUUUACCUCUACAGUUGUAUUACUUUUUUCUUGACCAAUGUUUUGUCUCAUUGAUUUUUCUUACAAAAGUUAUUGAUGCAACUUUUAUAACGUAUCAAAAGGAAUGAUGUAAUUGUUUUCCCUCAUUAGAUUUUCUUAAGAUUUUAACAAGGCAUAUUAUUUGUGUAGUGAAAGUCCAUAAUUUACAGUAUAUUUAUUAUUUACCCUUAAUGUAACUUGAUGAUUUAUUCUAGUAUAAUAUAUAAAUUGUAUACGAGACUUAAAAAUAGAGAAAUAAUAAAAUAUGUUUUUCAACCAACUAUCUUAAUGACUAAAGUUCAAUAGAAAUCGAUGAAUAUCUUAUAUGAAUUUGAUAUUGUUUGGAGACUAUAGUAAUACAACAUAGAAUAUAAUUCACCGGAGUUUGUUUUAUAAAAUUGUAAAAAUUUUCUCAUCCGCUUCCUAUUUUUAUCAACCACUCCAAUUCAAAUUGUUUUUGGAUUAAAAAACAUCCCUACCAAAAAUUCUCCAAUAUAAUGUAAACUCUAUGUAUUCCAUAAAUGACCAUACAUAGACUUAGGUGACUAUUGUUAUUGAUCGUAUGUGAAGCUUCCAAUGGAGGCCACAUGGAGGCACCACCACGCGCACACAUCAAAGAAGAAUGAAGGAUUUUCUUCUUGGUCGACGCCCCCAUCAAAACUCCACUGUUGAAGCGCUCCCAUCCCUUAAGCCGAACUCCUUCAUGUCCAAGGCUUCCACCUGUCCUCCAGAAACAAAGUGAUUGUACUCUUUAGAACAUGUCUAAGUGUAUCUUUAGGAAUGACUGAUAUGACGUUUCCAUUAAUAGAUGUCAGAUAUGACCACCUAGGAAUGUAGAGCUGCUGACAUCUUUUCAAAUGUAUUUGUCAAUGUAAUUAAUGUGAGAGAAGGUGAUGUGACACUUCGGUCAAUUAGAUUGGACCACGUGGAUCUAAUCCAAUGGUGGCCAGUUCGGCCAAGACAUUAUAAAGCAACUCUUGUAACAUUGUAAGGGAUGGAAAAAUAGAUAUUCAAGCAUACACUAUUAUCAUCUCUCUUUGGAUACUCAUUUAAGUCAUCUUUUCUAUUUUUGAUCGCUCUCAACUGUGAAUACCCCUUUUUUGUCCACGUAUGCAGUCAGUUUCCGAAUAUUCGAUUGGGAAUCCAUAGAAAGUCCAUCAAAAUUCUCUUAUGUGGACUUCAGCGGAAUCUAACACUUGUUGACACGUUUUUUGAGGUCAAUAUAUUGGCACCAUCUAUGGGAAAUGAGACAGUUAACCACAAGAAUCGCACGAAGAAAAGUUAGUGAUCUUUGUGUGAGAAAAGUCCUUGCCUUUCAGAAAAAGAGAGCAUCCUUGAAAAAAGGAUUACUAAAAGGAAAGUUGCGUGAGACACCAUUCUUGCUUCUUAGAGAAAAUGGAGCAUUGCCGACUUGUAAAACAUUUUAAGAGUAACAUAAGCACCAACGACAAAUAAACUGCACCUCGAAGAGCCAGGGAACACCUAAAGAAGGGAGACUGUCGCAUACUACCUCAACUUUUCGCCAUAGAUUCCACCAGCCGAAUAGGCGAGGUGGAACAUGUGGUGGAUCACGAGGUGGAUCUAGAAUAGCUGCCAGUCUCACAAGAAAAGUGGCUACCAAGGUUGAAAAUAUAAAGCCAACAAAAUCUCGUCAUGCAAGAAUUGCUAUAGACUAUACAAAAUCAAGAGGAUAUCCAAUUUUCCCAUAUGCAGCCCAAAAGGAUGUACCUUUUCAAAGAAAUUACUACAACAGUGAGAAAAAAGUCCAUAUCCAAAUGGCAAGGUAUCAGCAGUAUCAUGAGAAAAAAGUCCCUCAAUAAAUGGAAGUGGGGUAAGAUAUAUCCACCAACUAUGCUACGGACCCAACUUAUGAGGUCUCUUUUAAUUUUCAACCAAAUUAUGAUCCAAAGAGCACACCAAGGAAGAGUGUAAACAUUUUCAACAAAUUGAGUCCAGGACAACCUAGAAAUAGGAGGGUUCAGUAGCCUUCUCUGCUUAGGAAUAGGUAGCACGAGAAGACUCAGUUCUAAGUGCAACCUAAAUCGAUUCAUGAAAACAACAACCCUCUACCUAGAAAUAGGCAUGAGCGAAGAGCAGAAGAGGCAAGAAAUCGAGCAGGAUCGUCCCAGCCACCUCAUGAAGCCCACGUUAAGGAAUGAGGAGAUUCUGAAGAAUCGCAGAGGUCCUACGAACUUGAUGAUGAUGACAACACCUGCUAUUCUCCCAAAGAAUUAGGAAUGUGCCUAUUUUGAACCAUUUUAUGCUGCCCAAAAUACCUAAGUAUGAUAGAAGGAAAGAUCUAGCAAAACACCUCAAUAGCUUCUAAACUCACAUGAGUUUAAGAGGUACUACUCCAGCCAUGAAGUGUAGAGCUUUUUACUUGAUUCUGAGUGGAGCAACAGAAGUCUAGUAAAUGAGGCUCCUUAUAGGAAGUAUCUAAAGCGGGCCAAAUUUUAAGAAAGCUUUCCUCAAAUGGUUUGCCACUAGCAAAGAAGGUGAAUGGCCAAUACGACGCCUCAAUGAUAUAAGGCAGCAACCUGGGGAGUCAUUGAAAAAAAAUUUGUCGCAUUUUACAGACGAAAUGAUCUACUGUGUACAAGUCACAAAUAGGAAAGCAUUAACGACCUUAAGGUGAGUAAAUAUAAAUUACCUCUUCUGGAGAGAUAUGGAUAAUAAAGACCUAACCAGUUAUGAAGCCUUGUUGGAAAUGAUAAGGGAAGAAAUCAUUGAUGAAGAAUUGAGGGAUCAUCGGAAUUGUGCUAAUCGAAGCUUACCACCUUCCCAGAUCUUGCUUGAUUGACCCUAGUUGGACAAUUAAAUUCCGUAAAUCUAGGACAAGCAUUAGCUGCAAUUCUAACUUUGGCGUACGAGAAGGAGAACCCCAAUGCACGAAUGUAUCAAGGGAGACCACAUCAACAAUCUCUUGGAAUAGGAAAAGGUCGAGGGUGAGGGUGAGGCGCAAGACCUAGAAAUAGGGAUGAAGCACUCCUUUAUUGUACGAACCAUUGCUCCUAUAGCCAUGGCUCGGCAGGAUGCUGGAUAUUGCAAAACACCCAAGUAAUCAGGGUAGAAAUAAUUGCUUACAUAGAGACGAAACUCCUAGUCAGGGUCAGCAACCUAUGAAUAAUGGUCACCAAAAUAGGGAAAGCUCUCAAUGAGGGCAAGAAAAUGAUGGUGGACGACUUGAAAAAGGUCAAAAACACCAAACGAGACCUCAGCCAACGCGGGACACAAGCUCAUUCGAGAAAUCGAUACCAUAUUUGAAGGCCCAUACGUUAAGAGAGAGCUAAAGUCCUACUAAUGGCGAGCUUCAUAAUUAGCAGUAGCUGACCUCCCAAUGAAAAAAGAGCCCAACCCAUUACGUUUACCUAAGAUUAUGCUAUAGGCGUGCAUUAUCCGCAUUGUGACUCUUUGGUUGUGAGGGCUGUAGUGGCUCGAAAUGGUCUCAAGAGAAUGUUGGUAAAUAUUGAAAGUUCAGUCAACAUCAUAUAUGGAACCAUAUUUGACAAAAUGGAAGUUGACCACAAGGUUGUACGGAUUUACUAGUGACAACAUCAUCCCACGAGGAAAAAUCACUCUAGCAAUAGAGAUGGGAGUUGUACCUCUUAUAGCUCACCACUUCAUGAAGUUCUUGGUGGUAGAAAAUUAUCCUGCCUGUGACAGAGUGUUGGGAAGGCCCGCCUUGAAAGAAUUACAGGCUGUCACUUCCAUUCACCAUUUGUGCAUGAAGUUUCCAAUGAAAAACAACAUUGCCAUGGUUAGGGAUAACCUGCGAGGUACUAGAGAAUGUUAUUUGAACUCCAUUCGAAAAGCUAAACCUAGGAGUGUAAAUGUCAUCUUGAGGGACAUUGAUGAAAUCGACAACCUAGAACAAGGGCAUAACCCUGAGUAAGAGGAUGACAUUGAAAUGGUAUAUGCGUCUAAAGAAGAGGCUAUUUUCUAAGUAUAGACAACCCUUGAAGAAAGGAGAGCUGCUGAAAAAGCCGCUAAUCUUGACGAACUGGACCUCACAUAGUUGAUUACAACCUCAAACUACACUAGUCGAGGAAUUGGAGAGCUUUCGAUGGACCCUCAGGAUCCUCCAAGUUUUUGGAGGUCGGCAAGAACCUGUCAACGAUAGUAAAAGAAAAGUUGAAAAGCUUCUUAUGCAGUAACUUAGAAGUUUUCGAUUGGAAACAUGAGGACAUGAUUGGCAUUGGUCCAAAGGUUAGUUGUCGUCAUUUGAAAAUCGAUCUGAAGACUAAUUCAAUACAGCAGAAAAGGAAAGCCUCAAACUCAAAAAGAUAUGAAACCUUAAAAGAUGAUGUGAAGAAGUUGAUUGCCAACCGCUUUAAUAGGGAAUCAAUUUACCUAAGAUAGGUGUCCAAUCCCGUACUUGUAAAGAAGCAUAGUGGAAAGUAUAUGGUGUGUGUAGAUUUCUCGAACUUAAACGAAGCUUGCCCUAAGGAUAGCCUCUCACUUCCUCGAAUCGACCAACUAGUUGAUUCCACUAUAGGACAUAACCUGCUUAGCUUCAUGGAUGCAUAUUCAAGUUACAACUAGAUCCCAAUGUACCCAGCAGACGAGGAACACAAAUCCUUUAUUAUGGAUUGAAGCUACAGGGUGAUGAUCUUUGGGUUGAAAAAUGUGAGACCACCUAUCAAAGGUUGGUCAAUAAGAUGUUUGCCGACCUCAUUGGAAAGACAAUGGAGGUGUUUGUGGACGAUAUGCCUAUAAAAAGCUUGAAAAUAGAGGACCGCAUCCAUCACCUUAAUAAGGCAUUCCAAAUACUCCGAAGAAUAGAAUGCGUCUAAAUCAUCUCAACUGUGCCUUUGGAGUAGCCUCGGGAAAGUUCCUAGGCUAUAUGGUGAAUCAAAGGGGUAUUGAGGACUAAUUCAGAAAAGAUCAAGGCACUAGUUGAGAUAAGGUUGCCACAAAAACCAAAGAAAGUGUAGAGCCUUACUAGUAUUAUCACAGCUUUGAGCCGCUUCGUCUCAAAGGCAACUGAUAAGUGUCACCCAUUCUUCAAGAUUUUGAAUGUGGAAAUAGAUUUUAGUGGAUGAAAGAAUGUGAGGUAGCCUUACAAGUGCUGAAGAAGAACUUGGGAUAGGAUCCCUUCCUUUCCAAACCCAAAUGUGGAGAGCCCUUACUGUUGUGCUUUGUAAUGGCCGUCAAAGCUGUUAAUUCAUUGCUUAUAAGGGAAGAUGAGGGUCAUCAACUACUUGUAUAUCACAUGAACAAAACACUAGUCACAACAAAGGCUCGCUACCCAACAUGGAGAAGUUAGCUCUAGCUCUUGUAAUUGUCUCCUGUAAGUAGAAACCCUACUUUCAAGCACACACCAUAUAAGUUUUUACAAAUUUUCCUUUGAAGUAGGUGAUGUAAAAGUCUGAGGAAGAUUAAUAAAGUGGGCUGUGAAACUAAGUGAGUUCGACAUCAUCUACAAAACGAGGACUUCCAUUAAAGGGAAAGCCCUUGCAAACAUUCUAGUAGAGUUCAUCCCCGCUCCAAAAAUGGAAGAAGAAAUAAAACCUGCCGAACCCCUCCACUUGGAGUCUUUUUAUUGAUAGCUCCUCGGAAGAUACUAGUUCCGGGGCUGGUAUAGUACUGGUCAGCUUGGAAGGGCACAAGCUCAAUUGCAUUAUGAGGUUUGACUUCAAGGCCACCAACAAUGUGGCUAAAUAUGAAGCUUUCUUGGUUGGCCUCCGGUUGGCCAAAGAAAUUUGGGUGAAAAGGUUACUUAUCAUCAGUGACUCCCUGUUAGUCGUUAGCCAGGUAAAUGGAAAUUUCUCAACUAAGGACAAAAGCAUGGCUGUUUAUUUGAAAUUGGCGAUGGAGUUUGUCCCAACCUUCGAAAGGUUCAAGUCAGCGUAGAUCCUUCAAAGUGAAAAACUAUUAUGCCAAUGCCCUUUCGAAAUUAGCAAGCAAUAGGAACUUCGAAAUACUCGCGGUGGUCUCCAUAAAACACCUUUCGAGGCCUUCGACUUCAAAAGGCAAAGAGGUUAUGUGGAUAGAAGAUACUCCCUUAUGGAUGAAUCCAAUUAUAACUUCCUAAAGGAUCAAACAUUGCCAUCUACAAAGAAAAGGCAUAGAAGCUCAGGAGGCGAGCCAUACACUUCAUCAUCCAAGAUGAUGCACUGUAUAAAGGGAAUUUUCCAUGCUUCUACUUUAGUGCAUAUGUGGCAAAAGGCUACUUAUGUUCUACAAGGGAUACAUGAAGGGGUGUAUGGCAACCAUUCUGGAGAAUGGUCCAAAUCACAAAAGGUGUUAAGGUAAGGAUACUACUGGCCGACCUUGGAAAAGGACACCCAACUGUUCGCAAAAAAGUGCAACAAGUGUCAACGGUUUGCAAUAGUUCAAAGGCAACCCUCACAAGAGCCCAGUGUCAUUUCCAUUCCUUGGUUAUUUGCUAAAUAGGGAAUUGAUCUCAUUGGACCUCUGCUGAAAAGAAGAGGCAGAGCCUAUUUUGUAAUCGUCCCUAUUGAUUACUUCACCAAGUGAAUUGAAGCUGAGCUAUUGACCAAAAUAAUUGAAGCGAACGCUUCCAAAUUUUUGUGGAAAAAAUAUUAUAUGCAGGUUUGGUAUUCCUACUCAAUUGUCUCUGAUAAUGGGCAACAGUUUGACAACAGGAAAGUUAGAGACUUAUGUGAAAAGUUGGGUAUCAAAAAGCAUUUUUGCUCUCCAUACCACCCCGGGCAAAUGGUCAGUUUGAAGUUGUUAAUACGAUUAUCAAGUACACUCCAUAGAGGAAGCUAGAAGCAUCUAAAGGUACUUAGGUUGAUGAGUUACCUCAGGUCCUAUGGACUAUCCGAAGCACUAACAAAACAGCCACAGGCCAAACCCUUUUUUCCAUGACUUAUAGGGUCAAAGAUAUGAGUCCAGUCGAAGUGGGUCUGCCAUCCCUCGUCGUAUACACUUUAAUGAAAUAUCCAAUGAUAAGCUAGACUUCCUUGAAGAAAGGAUUGAUUAGUCUCAGGCAAAGUUGGUGAUUUAUCAGCAAAAGAUGACUAGGUACUACAAUUCCAAGUCAAAAGAAGUCAUUUCGUCUGAAUGAUCUCGUGCUACGGAGAAUUUUCCUAUCUAUUAAGGAACCGAGAGCAGGAACUAUUAGUCCAUACUGGGAAAGUCCUUAUCAUAUUAAUGAAAAUGUUCGACUAGAAACCUACCGAAUCAAAUGAAGGGAUGGAUAAGUACAACCUUAUCCAUGAAAUGUAGAAUAUUUGCGAAAAUAUUAUCAGUGAAAAUAGUAAACACAACUCUUGUAUGGUUUGUGGUUAGAAUAAAAUUUUUUAUCUUAAUUAAACUCUUCAACUUUAAAGUAAUAAGAAAAAAGGUGUCCCUCUUUGGACUGGCUGUUCAAAAGUCUAUAAUACCUCAAUAAUGAGCUAGAUCUUGAAAAGGACCAUCCUAUAAAUCGAGAAGUAGACAAUGCACGACGUAGAUGACUAUGAAACGAAUUUAAUAUGAGCAAACCACUCGACCUCGUGCAAAGUAAAGUAAAUAAAGAGCAGAUGAACUACCACCACUUGAAUAAAUUACUAAACACAAAAAACAAGUUAAGAACGAAAUUGAUGCUCACUUAUGAAAAUACACAAAGUACGUUCAGAGAUAUAAAGGAAAGUGUUCAAAGAUAUAAAGGAAAGUUAACUUUUAUUGAUAAUUAAUGAAUAAUAGAAAUUGGGCUUCUGGGCUGAGUUACAAGGCAGAAUAAAAAAAUUACAUAUUGCCCUAUCUAAACAGGUAGGGGAUGGGGAGGUACAAAGGGUACUAUGGUAUUAAGAACCACGAUCUCUUUAACUUCAGUCUCUUUUUCAUUGGCUUCAUCUUUGAUCUCAAUGACUUAGCUAUCCUCUACCGAAGUUUGAGGCUCUCUCUCCUUCUUCAAGAAUUCAGACUGCAAUUCAGAGGUAUUGAAGGUUUGGAAGUUGGCUUCAAUCCACUCCACUACUUCAGUAUAAGCGUACCUCCGCAGUACUUCGCAAAGCUUUGGUAUGUCUGUCAAGUGGAAAUUGGCUAUGUAGCAUUUUUCAACCCCAGUGCCAACAAACUUAGCCUCCUUUCUCACCUACUCCACUUCUUCUUGUAAGCCCGACACUCUGGAUGUUAACUCCCUCGCCUGCUCUUUUAGAUCAACAUUCUCUAUGUUGCCCAACUCUAGGGCCUCAGCAGCAAGCCGUUGAUGGGCGUCAGAGGCUUUCAUUCACUUCAUCAUGGAAGCUAUUUUACUCUGAGACAAGUGGACCUCCUUUUUUAAAUUUUCAAUUUCUGCCAAUGUAGAAGCGAAUUUCACGAACUCUUCGGCAUGGCUCUUUUUCAGAGCCUCAACCUUAGCCAAUGCAUUCUUAGCUAUCUUCUCAGCCUCAGAGGGUCUAUGUACAAAUCCUUUUUUUUUUAUUUAGAAGGUUUUUAAUAAGGGCCUCCACCUUGAUGGCAAUCCCAAACGUCCUUCCGUUUGGCUCAUCAUCGUUAUGAAAAUAUCCUCGCACUCACUAGACUCUACGAAAGCUUACGAUCCGUCCAGAAUAUAUGAAAGGUGGAGGUGGCGAUCUGAACUUCUGGAGGCAACAUCAACAAUACCUUCGUGGCAACUCAUCAUUCUAUUGCUAGAUGACAAGUUUGAGGUGAGAGGCUGUAUUAGUUGUAGAAGACCUACUGGAUGUCCUUAGCUUCUUUGAGGAUUCUUGCCUCGAAGGCUCCCGCCAAUUGACCUCUUUUGGGCUCCCUUGCUACAAUAAUGGAUGCUGCCAUUAAUUUUUUCCCAACUGGGACUUCGAAACGAGGUGGUGGUAGUUGGGGACCUUCUCCACUUUGUUUUUUACUUGUCCACCAAAGGAGGUCUCCCAGCACCCUCUUAGCCAGCAGCCUCUCUGCUGACCCUUUCAACUUGGUUUCUCACCUGUUUGGCACCAACAGAUGAGAGCUUUAACCCAUUCCUCUCUACUGUGAAGGUAGCUGCAAGAAUGGUAGCCAUGUUGGGGUUAGGGUGCCUCAUCUUCUCGAAAUUAUGUAUAAGGAAGGCCAAAGAACAUACAAAACACAAGGUUAGUAAAGAGAAAAAUAUAGAAAGUAAUCACUACCCAAUAAUUGCAGAAGUAUCUCUUUAGACCAUUAGACUGAAUUCCUUAAAAAAUUGGUGAAAAACGAUCAGUCUCUCAAACUCUCUCGAAGAAGCUGGACAUUGGUAUAUGUCUCUUAUAAGCUCAAGCUCUGACGGGCCAAGCUCAAAAUGAUCGACUGUCCCUACAAAAGAAACACAACAUUAGAAUCCACAUCAACACAAUUCUUUAGUAAAACACGUAAAAGGUACGACAUUCACUAGCUUCUAUAUACGAAGUGGGAACUGUCACUUAAGGACGGAGUCAUCCUCACAUUCUUGCCACUUUUUCCUCACCCAAAACUACGUUUCCUUCCAUCCUUUGAUAAGGAGGAAAUGCCUAUAAUGAAGGGAGAAUGUGAACCCCAGAGAUAUAAGGAAUACCACCCUUUGGAAUCUCUCUUUCCUAAAGACCUAGGCUAUAGGAAGGUUUGGAAGAUAUGGAGGGACAUAUCCUCACCUAAGGAGUCUCUUUUCAAAGGAACUAAGAUCCCACUAGUUGGGCCCACACGUUGGUAACAAACUAGGUAAAGUCGGUCCACAUAGCCUAAGAACGGAUCUAAAGAAGGGAUAUAAAGGCAACCAAAGCCUUGCCUUUAAAAGUAACUUUUUAAUGGCUACGCAACCUGACCUCGGAUAAUAGACACAUUCAUCGGGGGCUAGGAGUUUUAUGUCGUAGGGGAUGCAAUAUUUUUCCCUAAGGUGUACCAGGUGAGAGGCAUCUACGAUGGAUGGGAUUUUCAAAGCUCUCCUAACCUCUUUCCCAGGCCCACCCCUCGUUAAUAGAAGGCAACUUUGCCCAACCCUUACUGCCUCAACGAGGUUGGCAAUGUUUGUAAUUUGGACCUCCAUUUCAGUCACCAAUUCACUAAGAUCUAUUCUCUCUUCAAAAGGUGAAAAAGCCAUUUGAAUCAAAAAGUAGAAAGUUUCAAAUACUUAUGAAAUUUCACAAAAAACACUGGUUGGAAAUGUCUAGAAAUCACGAAAAAGAGAAUUUAUGAUUUGAAAAUAAUGUGAAAAACAGGGAGAAAAUUGUAAGAAUUUGAGUUCAGGUUAAUAACAAAGGCAAAAGUGAUUUUUGCCCUAAAAUGUUGCCUUUUAUAGGUAGAGGCAUUCAAUCCUAGUGGUUGAUGGUGAUCUAGAUCAUCUAGCCAUUAGUUACAAAAUUAAAUCUGAGCCACUAACUGCAUUUGUCAUUUCGCAUUCAAAGGCCCAAAUUAUGGCGUCACAUUUAUGCAUUUGAACGCAUUUAAACAACAUGCCCACGACAGCUAGCAUUGUGCAUUAAAUAUGACAACGAUUGCAUGUGUUGGAACUCGAAUCGUCCUCGUCAGUCGUAUUUUCUGGGACUUGCAGAAACAUCUAAUCAUUUCAACACAGUUAUCAACAAUGCCUUGUUCUUACCAACUCUGAACCAGUAAAACCUCUUCAGCUUCAUCAUCAGUAACCUCGUCCAAAUUGACGAAGCACAACACUUUAUCUUGACCUUUACAACUUCGACAUAAUCAAAUACGUAUAAUUACAACCCCGUAAUAAGUUGCGUCAGCUCUUAUAAGGUUCCUCAAUAAACAACCUUGAUAGGCGCCUCGGCUAUUCGUCAUAUAUAAUUCACAAACUCUAAUUUAUAUAUGAAUAUUCGCAAAUUAGACUUGGGGGACUAUACUGUUAUGGGAUUAAAACACACGUCUACAAAAAUUUUUCCAAUAUAAUGUAAACUCUGUGUAUUGCAUAAAUGACCAUACAUAAACUUUAUGGACUAUUGUUACUGAUCAUAUGUGAAGCUUCCAAUGGAGGCCAAAAGGCACCACGCAAUAUAACAUCAAAGAAGAAUGUAAGGAUUGCCUUCUUAGCCGAGACCCUAUUUCCAUCAAAGCUCCAUUGCCGAAGCGCUCCCAACCCCUAAGCCAAACUCCUUCAUGUCUGAGGCUCUCACAUGUCCUCCAUGACAAAAGUGAUUGUAUUCUUCAGAACAGGUCCGAUGAGUGUAUCUUUAGGAAUGACUGAUGUGACGUUUGCAUUAAUAGAUGUCAAAUAUGUUAGCUUAGGAAUGUAGAGUAGCUGACCCCUUGUCAAAUGUAUUUGUCAAUGUAAUUAAUGUAAGAUAGUGUGAUUUGACACUUUGAUCAAUUAGAUGAGGCCAUGUAGAUCUAAUCUAACGGUGGCCAGUUCAGCUAAUACAUUAUAAAUAGUUGUAACAUUGUAAGGGAUGGAUAAUAGACAUUCAAGCAUAUACUAUUAUCAUCUCUCUUUGAACACUCAUUUAAGUUGUCAUUUCUAUUUUUCGAUUGCUCUCGGCUGUGAAUAUCCCAUUCUUAUAUCCACUAUGCAGUCGGUCUUCAAAUCUCUGAUUGAGAAUUCAUAGAAAAUCCAUCGAAAUUCACUUACGUGGACAUCAGCGGAACACAACUUCCAUUGGCACGUUUUUUGAGAUCAACAGAAAGUAAAAUGGCAACUGCCUUAACUCGUACUUUGCUAUUUGUAUUGGAGGAAUUCCUUCAAACGGUCACCCCUCAAACAUGUUUUUGUGUAAGAAGCCUUUGACCAAUUUGAAGAAAAUAAAAUAAAACUUAAGUAUUUAAAAUGGCAAAAGACUAUUUUUAACUUUCUCAUGUUAAACCAAAUUAAAGAAAGAUAUAUAUCUAGGAACUAGUUCCAUCCCCAAAUUGAACUAUCUUUCCUUUACGUCAAAUUCUCAAAUUCAAAUUCAUCUCUCAUUCAACCUUCUUCUUCUUGCGAGGUUGCGAUGUUGGAGGGUUUUGAAGUGAAUGACAAUAUUGAUAUCUGCUACAGCUAUGAUCGUACUGUUGGUUAAUGAAUUUAAUCAUCACAAUAGGAAAUUAAUUUUCCUUUGAAGAUUAAAAUCAUGUAAAUACGGAUUUAAUUGACCUUGAAAUCAUUGGAUUAUAAAAUCCUUACAUAUAGAAAGGGGAGAUGAUAACCUUUUUGAAGGAGAUAUUAAU